rnacentral:lncRNA from 1 species
UCGACGACGGGAAUGGGAGAUGAUCGGUAAGCUAGAUGCUUCGCGAACCACCGAUACAUUUCGUUGCACUUAAAUCACCCUUGUUAAGAGGCGCACUCCGAUACCAUUGAUGUCCAAUAGCUUUGAUAGUAAUGGCUGCAUCUACAAAUACCCCAUCCAUUGAGUAUAACAGAGCAAAUGAUGGUAUAGCAAUGAACAAUGGAAUGACACUAGGAAAAAUGGUCCAAAUAAUUUCGAUUGUAGUUCCAUGAACAAUCCUUUGCGGGAUUGGAUUAGUUUGCUCGUUGAAAUGCCAUAAAGCGCGAACCAACAUCCGUGAUACGAAAACCAAAAUCAGAAUGAGGAAGAAAAAUAUAUCGUGAUGUAAGUCAAUGAUUCCUUGCAUCAUAGGUGUUGCUGCGUCUUGAGAUCCUAAUUCACAUGGUUCCGCAACAUCACAAAGAGCGAUUGUGAGGAAUCGACAUUCUAAUGAACGAAGAAUCAUUGGCAGCACCAGAAGUAGGACCAAACCAAGAGUGAGUAGCAUAGACAAGGAUAUAUUUGUGAAUGAGGCAAAGUACUUGCCAAUAUUCAAAUCCAGAAUUGGGUGAAUUCCAAAUUGAUCCAGGGGGCUCUCUGCUGCAAAACCUGCAGCACCAUCCACAUUCAUCAGGUCAACUCCUGCGGAACUCCCUGCCUCAUUUCCAUUCGCUAGGUCAACUCCUCCUGAGCUUCCCGCUGGGUUUCCUCCUCCAGGAAGAUCCACGUCAUUCGACACUCCUAUCUUGAAAGCUUCACUUUCUCUUCCAUGUGCCCUUAAAUCCUCGAGCUGCCCUUGCAAAAAUGCGAUAUUAUCGCUUUCUCCAUGCACACAUUCGGUGACAGCCACAACUUCGGGGUGCUCCCCGUCCAUCCUCAUUAAUUCACUCAUUUGCUCCCUUAUACCGGCUUGAUAUUCCACCACCAUUUCAUCGGUCGGGUUCAGACCUGGGUGGUCCUCAUAAAUCCCAGUUGAACCCCCCUGAAUCGGAACACCAUUAGCAUUACUUGUAUUAGAACCAUCAGUCAUCAUUCUAAUAGAACUUGUGAUUGUAUUAACAGAAGUCUCGGUUGAAUUGAGAGAUGCCUCAUCAAAUCUAAAGAUAAGGCACUCCCUUAGUCAUUCUGCCAAGGAAUUAGAUUCGAUGGUGGUAUGGGACACCCUUGGCUAAAUAACUAGGUAAGUCUUAUGUUGGGUUCUGGUCGUGGUCGACCGGAACGGGGGCAUCUGGCAAGCGCUUAUAGUUCCGGCUCAGGAAGAUUGGAUAUGGGCAUAGUUCCCAAAGCUUUACCAUGUAGUCUGGACUAUAAGUUGGUUACGUUAGGUGUGCUCUAUGCAGUUUGACCAUUUCCAGCAUUUGCAUAAUGAGGAUUGUAGGGAAAAGCCUCGUAGUGAGACCCUAGCCAUUCACCUCAGAAGUGAAUACGGGUCUAGCUAACCCGGGCUAGAAGGGAAUCGCAACUUAUGGGUAAAGAUGCGCCACCUCUGCAGAGUGUAAAACUGAUAUAUCAGCCGUGCUCACGGUUAUGAGCAGCAUGGACUCCUCACAUAAUAAUUGAACUUGAAGAUGGAAAUAAAUCGAGAUCCGAUGAUCUGCCAAUGGUUUGCUUAAGUGGUUUCACUUAAGUGUUUUUGAUAUACUCUUAUACCUUUGUUUAAUGGGAAUACUUGGGAUUCACACUUAUUAGUAAGACAUGUGUUGUUAAUAAAAUAUUGACCAACUAAAAUGCUUACUACUCAACCUUAGCCUCACCUUGUUAAACUUGCAUUAAUUUCCCCCCACUUGCUGAGCCCUGACCAUAAGUGAGCUCACCCUUGCUUAAAUUUUGAUCAGAAGUUCACAGAUGAAGUUAUGAUGCUGAGCUCCAUGGAUGCUAGUCUAGUGAUACCCUCGGCCAUCUUCCUGUGGAUGGAUGUCCAUGUUUUGCUGUACUUUGACGAAUAAAUGUUAAGACAUUAUGUCUGUUCGAAGUGUAAUAUUUUAAUAAAAUCAUUAUUUACGCUUUUAUGCAUUGUUUUUUUGAUAUAUUACACUUGUGAUGUCAACAUAUGUGUGGAAAUAGAUCCUGGCACACAUAUGCUAUGCACCCGGCUCUGCCCCUUUGGAAACGGGUGUGACACCAGCGCUCGGAAUAUUUUAAUCGUUUUUUGAUAACAAGCUCAUGGAAGGUAUUUUUCGGACCUUCGGCAUUCCGAAGCCUUUGUGUUUUUCACGGACUGAGCUCGUUACGAAAAACCGAUCUAGCACCGCGAAGGGGCUACUGUUGGGGGUCUUCUUCUCCGUCGAAGGUCCUCAAGACAAAACACCUUCGGCAAAAUGAUACAGAAGUAUUCCCUUCUUCUGCCGAAGAUCCUCAAGACGAAGACCUUGUGUAGAAGCAACAUUGCCAAAUGCCAAAAGCUACCAUCAGCUUCGGUUCAAGUCAAGCAGAAGAAGAAUAGACCAUAUAGACCUUAGUAAUCUAGGUUGUCCGUAGAUAAAUGUUGAGGGACAUGAAUGUAAUUUCACCCGGGCUACGUCUUGUGCCUAUAAAUAGACGAACAGUAACACCGUACUGUUCACGCUGAAUUGUAAUCACUCUCUUGCGUCUUCACCUUCAAGCAAGCCAAAGGUAUUAAUGUAAUAUGACUUCUGUUAAUAUUCAUACAUGUUUUAUGGAAUGCAAAUAUGGAUAAAUUAACGAGAUGUAGUUAUUAUCUUUGUCCCUUUACAUUCAAGUUCACAUAUUAAAUAAUGAAGGUAUGUCCUUCAUGACCUUCGUCUAAUGAGUAUUAUAUCCAUGGGGAGGUAAUGAUUCAGAAGAUGAAGGUCCCUAAUAAUCGACAAUUAUAUUGUCUUGUUCUUGAUUCACAGCAUUUGAGAACGAGUGACCAACACUCCCGCAACGAGACUAGGAUAAAUCGGAGGCAGACAACGUUUUCUAGUCAACACUGUUUUGUCCCUCUAUUGUUUACACCGAGGCACCAAAAUGUCUUCAGUAGCCUUCAUAUCUUACCUUUAUCUAUACACUCUCUGAGCAUGGGCUAGCAAGCAUUUUACCUCAUAUAGGAGACCACCUACUCUAUUUUUUUCUAUUAAAACCACAAGUUUGCUCUGCUCAUCUACAACAAGAAGUGAAAGCGGAAAAGACGUCUACUAUUGCCAUAUGACCUGCCAGUAGCAAGCUUUUCUUCUGUUCCCCUAUCUCUUCAACUCAUCACUUGUCAUUUGUCAUUUGUCAAGUGAUGUGGACAGAGAGCGCGGCCGGCAAAGCAAACCUAUGCGGCCCACAUGUUGUAGCGCCGCUCAUCUACCUCUACCCUCCUCGCACCGUGGCCGUCGCGCACUGCACCGAGACGCCGACGACAUGAGUCCGGUCUCCCACGGAGCUUGAAGCCCACCCCACCCUCUCCAUCCCCACGACGCCAAUGCACCGUCUCCAUCCUCGCAACGCCAACCCACCGUCUCCAUCCGCGCAACGUCGACCCAGCCCAGGCUCCUCCUCCCUACGUAGCCGUCGCUGGCGCUGCUCCCCCCAAUAGGUGCAGUGACUUUGGCUUCCCCCACGGCACUCGGUCGUUGCCUCUCGCGGCAACAGAGCCUUCUUCCCACGGCGACCAAGCACCUGCGCUGGAUUCUGCGGCGACAUUGGAAGCUUCUUGUAAAGCCCUAAAGUUUUUGUAAUAAAAUAAAUAAAUACAUGUAUCUGUUCUGCCACCAUUCCCAUUCCUUGUUCUUCAUUUCUCAUUCCCUCCUCCCCGUACUGCCCAUUCCCAUAUUCUGCCAUCAUUUUAUGUUCUGUCAUUCCCAUUCUUUGUUCUGCCUUUCUCAUUCCUCCCUCCCCACAAAGCCCAUUCCCAUUCCCCCGUACAGCCCAUGUCUAGCUAAAAUUUAAAAAAAUCACACAUGCCCCAAGGGGAUUUGAACCUGUGACUUCUCAAGCAAAGGCCAGAAGUAGCUACCGCUACACCACAUGUGUGUUUAUGUCUGCAUCUAUGACAGGAAACACAUCUACUACAUCUCUCACCAAGCCCACUUGCUACUCUUGCACAAUGCGUAGUAGUAGAUAAGUAUCACCGAGAUUCUUGAAUUAUAUUUUUGGAUGGAGGUAAUAUUAUUUAAAGAAGAGCUUUGCAUGCAAUUUAUUUUGUUUGAAUAAUGUUUUAUACUUAAAUUCCUUUUUUUUGCAUUUGUGACAUUUAUUCUUCGUAAUUUUUUCCAUGGAUCAGACUUAUGAGUCAUUUUCAUAAACCAACGCCAACCAUAAAUCCAUGUUUCUUACUUGAAACCCUGAACAAACACCAUUAGCAGGAGGCAUGUCACACCCGGAUUUCGGGGCACCAAGACCCGGGCGCGAACAUAAUCACCAGGUGUGCUGGGACCAAGUCUCACACAUAUGAUGAAUCAUGGCACAGGAUCGAAUGUCACAUCUUUACUAUAUAACAGGAGUUCUAUACAAAAUAAAUACAUAAAUAAUUACAUCAAAAGGAGACAAUGAUCCAACAACCCAAAGUUGACUGGGAGAUGAAGACCUAGACCUCUCACGAACACAUCGCAACAUCCUCCAUGCGCCUCAUCCUGCGGUACCUGUUCUUGGCCUGUGGGGGGUGUGAGACAGCAAGAGUGAGCUCACAUACGUUCAUCGCUCAACAAGUUGUGGGGAAUAAUGUGCAUGAACUCGCCAAAGGUGGAAGCUCAUGUGAAGUGUAAGGCUUACCAAAGAGGAUGGUUAGAGCUGAGCAUUGCUUUUAAAGUUGGUCAAAUUUUUAUUAGCAGUUACUAAGUAUAAGUAAAUACCAACCCAAUUAAGUAGUAGAACAAAAGUAACAACAUCACAUGCGAUGCAAUGCAUAUGACAAAUUGAAUUUAGUUCCAUAAAUUAAUCAUGUGAGUGUCCGAGCUGCUCAUGACUGUGAGCACGACUAGUAUACCAGUUUUACACUCUGCAGAGGUUGCACAUCUUUACCCACAAGUCAUGUUACCCAUCUGCCAAGAGACGGCCAAUCCCAUACACCUCUACCGAGGAGGCGAGGCAGGGUAACACUACGAGGCCUUUACAAAGUUCCACUAGCUUCGGAAAACCCGCUACAGUUAUAGGAAGCUCCAGUGCAGGAAACCCUCGCCUGACCGCCAUCGCAGCAAAAUCAACCAAGGACCUCCCUACACUGACCACUCCCCUACUGCCCUUGCCCCUUUCGGGUAAGGUAGUCCUCCACUAGCUUUCCUAGUUAAUCAGCCAAGGGCGUCCAUUAAACCCUUGUGGUAGCUGUUUUCCCGGGUGGUUCUCCAUGUUCCCAUUAACAUAAUGAUCUUAUCAUGAACAGUAAAUAAUGAACAGAUAAUAAAGAUAUAAUCAUGAACAAUGUGUAUCUCCAUACCCAAAACCACAUAAAGCAAUAGCAUGUACUACCCAAAAAUUCAGUGGUAAACAAGGUAUAAAGAUAGUCAAAUCUAGGGUAACCUAUUGGGUCCCAUCAAAAUUAAUCUAUGCAGAUCAUUAUGAUUAAUAAGAACAUGACUGGGUAAAGAGGAAGUGAUCAAGAGCACAACUUGCCUGGCACUUGAGAUUCCAGGUACCAACUUGCUCUUCAGGUGACUCGUAACCUUGCCGCUACUCGUAGCAAUACAAACAAACAUGACAUAGGCAAAAUUAACAUCACACUAAACAUAAGUACAAACUGAAUAAUAAUAUUCUACGCGUCUCUACGAGAUCGUAGAAACAAAAACCAUUAAAUUCGGAGCUACGGUUAUUAAGUUAUGAAUUUCCGAAAUUAUUUAGUGCUUAGAUUAGAUUAAUCCUAAUGAACAAUUUUAAUUCAAGUUUCAUGGUUAAACAAAGGUACUAGGUGAUAAAAAAUAUUAAUACAAAAUUAUUGCAACUGGAAUGACUCAAUUUGGAGUUAAAAUGAAUUUACUAUGAAUUUCACAAGUUCUAGAAUUAUUUCCACCUUAAAAAUCAUUUUCUACUUACUUUUACUGGAUUUUCUAAUUCUCCGGACUGGGCGCACAAAACCAGAGAAGCACAAGGUUUAAUCUAUAAGAUUUCCUAGACUCAGAAUUCACUGUGCAGGAUGGUGGGCUAUUUCUCCUAUUUUAAGGGGGUCUUUAGCAAAACUUAUGGCCGAAAGGGUAUGGGCGGAUGAGAGCUGUUGGAUCACGAUUGAGCGAUGUGGAUUAGAUUGAGACUUCAUUAACGUGGUGUGAUCUAGCAGCCCUUGGAUCAGGGAUCCACGGUCAGAGACUAACGUGUCCCCAAAACCGUCCGAUAUGAAUUGAAUGGCCCGAUCCUCGUCUUCCAGCUCCUGACCUAAUCCUAGCCGUUCCUUAGACUAUCGACGGUCCUGGCACCUUCUCUUCCCCUGGCCACGCAUCGCGAUGGCACUCAACAGCCCGCACGGCCGCACCCGCUGGCGGUUAGCGUGCCCGGUGCCCUAUUUUCCUACCGAAAGCGAGCAACGCGAAGAGAAGACGGAGGCAGACCUAGCUGUAGGUUCCUUACCGCGGAUUCGGGCACGGAGACGAACGCCCACGAUGGAACGCAACUCGCGAUGGACGCCACAGCUCCGGUGAGCCAUUGCCCGAGUUCCGACCGACCGUUCAUCAAAUUGUCGGUCGGGAUAGCUUCCCCGUGCCCAGUCGAAGCUCCGCCUCUAUUCCCUGGAUUCGGGCCGUCGACAGAGGCGAGGAACGGCGACAGCGGUGGCCGACCGCACUCCCCCUACUCAAUUCGCACACGGUGAAGCCCUCGAUGACCCUCUGGUGGUGGGCAGGGGCGGUGGUUUAUAUUCCCCGCGAGGACCCCCCAUCGGCCGAAGAAAAUGGAGUCCGUUGUGGAGUUUGUUGCGGAGUUAGUUGGCCGUGAGCUCGGAUGUCAACGGAGUUCUCCGCCGCGCGAGGUCCGUGGAUUCUGUUGCUAGCCGCGAGUCCGAGUCACACCUAGGAGGUUGGAGACGCCCGUGGCUCGGAGUUCACCCAGCUUUCCAGGGAACCAUGGAGACCAGAACGACAGGAUUUGGUGGCGCGCGACGGCGAACGAGGAGGUGUUGUUACGGUGAAGGAGAGCCUGACGGUGAAAGUCCACGAGUCAGUGAGGAAUUUGGCUCAGGCGCGCGCGGUGCUCGCUGACAAGGCGGUCCCGCAGUUGGCCACACACGUGAAGUGGGUGCGAGGGAGCAGUCCGCGCCCAGGAGAAGGGUUCAGGCUCGCGUCUGGUUGUGGGCCGCACGAGAGCAAGGGAGAUGGGCCGCAUGGGGCAAUUUCGGCCCAGGUGAGGUAGAAUUGUUUUGUUUUUUUGUUCAUUUCCAUUUCCCAUUUCUAGUUUUCGAACUUGAGUUCAAUUAUGUGUUUUAAAUGCUCAUCCAAAAUUCUAGCAUGAUGCAAUUAUUUUGAAUACAAAUUCGAAUCUAGGUUCAGGAUUCACAUUCAUAUGCAUAAUUAUAACAACACUUCGCAUGCAAAAUAUAAUUUUAUGUUAUUUAUUUCUCAUCUCAUUUAUUUAUGCUUAUGCUUUUAAAUGUGCACACAAAAUAUGUAUUUUAAGAAAUUUAGUUCUAGUUUUAAAAAGAUCCUUAAGAGUAAUGUCUAGAAGAUAUGAUUUAUCAAAGGAACAAAUUAUUACUGAGCUCCUUUCUUUCUUUUUUUCUGGAAACAUUGUUUUAGGAUGUAUAGUUUCAAAGGUAAGAUAAUUCUUAUGAAAAAUAUAUUUUAACUCAACAUCAGGGAAAAGUUUUACAUAAUUCUCAAAAUGAGAUUUUGAGGUGUUACAAAUCCUACCCCCCUUAACAAAAAUCUCGUCCUCGAGAUUUGUAAGGAAAGGAAUACAAAAGGAUUGGACUGUAAUUCAACUUUUAGUCUAUAAUUGUUUCAAAUAUCCAGAUUAUUUUAUAGUCAAUUGUGGGUGAUUAGGAGAGCAUAGGUAUCCAACUACUUAUUAGGUAUGAUAUAAGAGAUGGAUAGGUUAGGGUAAUAAUAGCCUGGGGUAAAAGUUUAUAGUGAGAAAGAACUUUUGUUGGGUAGUAAUUCCCCUGAUGAUCAAGUUUGACUUCUCUAUCCUUCCUUCACAAGGUUGAUCUUUUCCUUUUCCAGUCUUGCUCUUUGGUGUCUCCAUCUGUGUUUGGGACAAGAGGCUAAGAUAGAUCUGUUAUAUAGGUCAAGUUGUUGGGUAUGGCCGAGUUGAUCUAGGUCACCAGUUUAAGCUUAAGUGGAUUUAGAGUAUGGCUUUAUCCUUUGUACCAGCAUUAAGUAACUUACUCUAGAUUAGAUAAUAAUAGAUUAGAUAGAAUCUAGAUUAGGUUGGUACGACUAGAUUAAACUAGUUAAGAUCUCAUUAAUUUGGAUUAGGUACUGGUGGUUACUUUAGGAUCAGAUAAAUAUAGUGGUUAGGAUAAAAUGAAUCUUUCAUGAUAAGAUGAAUCUAUUAGGAUAAGAGAGUCUUUUAAGAUAAGAUGAAUUGGUUAGAAUGGGAUCUUUUAGGAUAAGAUAAAUCUCUUAAGCUAGAUAUAUUCCAAUGGGGACAAUCUAGGUUGUCUAGUUAUUUUAUAAAUAUAUUUUUAUACCUAUGUGUAUAUGUAGAUGCAAUUGUGGACAUUACUCCACAACUCAUCACACUCAAUCAAAGAUCCAAAUCAAACAUGUAUCAUAAGAACAAGCAUUCAAGCAUAUCAAUAUUUACUUAAAUAGUUUUGAUUUUUUUCCUACGAGUAGGUCUCCUAUUCCUAAAGCUCACUUUAUGUACAAGAUUUCAAAGUGUGAAAUCCACAUUUGUCUUUAGAAAGAAAAGGUAAGAAUAAUCAGAGUAAAGCGGAAAUAGAUGAGAAAAGAUUAAGAAAAGUUUAGAAAGAAUCAGAGUAGCAAAGGUAAGUAAGUAUUGGUUGUCCAGUUCUAUCUAGGUUUCGUCCUACAGUCAAUAUUCCUCUGAUACCACUUCUGUCACACCCAGAUUUCGGGGCACCAAGACCCGGGCGCGAACAUAAUCACCAGGUGUGCUGGGACCAAGUCUCACACAUAUGAUGAAUCAUGGCACAGGAUCGAAUGUCACAUCUUUACUAUAUAACAGAAGUUCUAUACAAAAUAAAUACAUAAAUAAUUACAUCAAAAGGAGACAAUGAUCCAGCAACCCAAAGUUGUCUGGGAGACGACGACCUAGACCUCUCACGAACAUAUCACAGCAUCCUCCAUGCGCCUCAUCCUGCGGUACCUGUUCUUGACCUGUGGGGGGUGUGAGACAGCAAGAGUGAGCUCACAUACGUUCAUCGCUCAACAAGUUGUGGGGAAUAAUGUGCAUGAACUUGGCAAAGGUGGGAGCUCAUGUGAAGUGUAAGGCUUACCAAAGAGGAUGGUUAGAGCUGAGCAUUGCUUUUAAAGUUGGUCAAAAUUUUAUUAGCAGUUACUAAGUAUAAGUAAAUACCAACCCAAUUAAGUAGUAGAACAAAAGUAACAACAUCACCUGCGUAAGUAGUAGAACAAAAGUAACAACAUCACCUGCGAUGCAAUGCAUAUGACAAAUUGAAUUUAGUUCCAUAAAUUAAUCAUGUGAGUGUCCGAGCUGCUCAUGACCGUGAGCACGGCUAGUAUACCAGUUUUACACUCUGCAGAGGUUGCACAUCUUUACCCACAAGUCAUGUUACCCAUCUGCCAAGAGACGGCCAAACCCAUACACCUCUACCGAGGAGGCAAGGCAGGGUAACACUACGAGGCCUUUACAAAGUUCCACUAGCUUCGGAAAACCCGCUACAGUUUAUAGGAAGCUCCAGUGCAGGAAUCCCUCGCCUGACCGCCAUCGCAGCAAAAUCAACCAAGGACCUCCCUACACUGACCACUCCCCUACUGCCCUUGCCCCUUUCGGGUAAGGUAGUCCUCCACUAGCUUUCCUAGUUAAUCAGCCAAGGGCGUCCAUUAAACCCUUGUGGUAGCACUGUUUUCCCGGGUGGUUCUCCAUGUUCCCAUUAACAUAAUGAUCUUAUCAUGAACAGUAAAUAAUGAACAGAUAAUAAAGAUAUAAUCAUGAACAAUGUGUAUCUCCAUACCCAAAACCACAUAAAGCAAUAGCAUGUACUACCCAAAAAUUCAGUGGUAAACAAGGUAUAAAGAUAGUCAAAUCUAGGGUAACCUAUUGGGUCCCAUCAAAAUUAAUCUAUGCAGAUCAUUAUGAUUAAUAAGAACAUGACUGGGUAAAUAGGAAGUGAUCAAGAGCACAACUUGCCUGGCACUUGAGAUUCCAGGUACCAACUUGCUCUUCAGGUGACUCGUAACCUCGUCGCUACUCGUAGCAAUACAAACAAACAUGGCAUAGGCAAAAUUAACAUCACACUAAACAUAAGUACAAACUGAAUAAUAAUAUUCUACGCGUCUCUACGAGAUCGUAGAAACUAAAACCAUUAAAUUCGGAGCUACGGUUAUUAAGUUAUGAAUUUCCGAAAUUAUUUAGUGCUUAGAUUAGUUUAAUCCUAAUGAACAAUUUUAAUUCAAGUUUCAUGGUUAAACAAAGGUACUAGGUGAUAAAAAAAUAUUAAUACAAAUUUAUUGCAACUGGAAUGACUCAAUUUGGAGUUAAAAUGAAUUUACUAUGAAUUUCACAAGUUCUAGAAUUAUUUUCACAUUAAAAAUCAUUUUCUAAUUACUUUUACUGGAUUUUCUAAUUCUCCGGAGUGGGCGCACAAAACCAGAGAAGCACAAGGUUUAAUCUAUAAGAUUUUUUAGACUCAGAAUUCACUGCACAGGAUGGCAGGCUAUUUCUCCUAUUUUUAAGGGGGUCUUUAGCAAAACUUAUGGCCGAAGGGGUAUGGGCGGAUGAGAGUUGUUGGAUCACGAUUGAGCGGUGUGGAUUAGAUUGAGACUUCAUUAACGUGGUGUGAUCUAGCAGCCCUUGGAUCAGGGAUCCACGGUCAGAGACUAACGUGUCCCCAAAACCGUCUGAUAUGAAUUGAAUGGCCCGAUCCCCAUCUUCCAGCUCCUGACCUAAUCCUAGCCGUUCCUUAGACUAUCGACGGUCCUAGCACCUUCUCUUCCCCUGGCCACGCAUCGCGGUGGCACUCAACAGCCCGCACGGUCGCGCCCGCCGGCGGUCAUCGUGCCCGGCGCCCUAUUUUCCUACCGAAAGCGAGCAACGCGAAGAGAAGACGGAGGCAGACCUAGCUGUAGGUUCCUUACCGCGGAUUCGGGCGCGGAGACGAACGCCCACGAUGGAACGCAACUCGCGACAGACGCCACAGCUCCGGUGAGCCAUUGCCCGAGUUCUGACCGGCCGUUCAUCAAAUUGUCGGUCGGGAUAGCUUCCCCGUGCCCAGUCAAAGCUCCGCCUCUAUUCCCUGGAUUCCGGCCGUCGACAGAGGCGAGGAACGGCGACAGCGGUGGCCUACCGCACUCCCCCCUACUCAAUUCACACACGGUGAAGCCCUCGAUGACCCUCUGGUAUACAUGUCCAAAUGGGCGUGCCGGGCCAGCCCGGCACGGGCACGGCUGGACCCGGCACGACUUUGGCGUGCUCAUGCACGGCACGCCAGUGUCAUGGGCCGGACCGGGCUGGCACGUGGGCCCAAAUCCCUGCCCAGGCAUGGCACGCCAACUGUUAAUCGGGCCGGGCCGGGCCGGGGGCACGGGCAGCCCGUUGGUGCUGUGCCGGGCUCGGGCCCAGUUACAUAAUCCACAUGACAAAAUUCAGAGUUAACAGAAUACAAGAUUACAAGUCAAAGAGGCUACAAAAUAGUCUUUAAAUGGUUUGGAGCUUUAGUGCAAUGCUGCCUCAUUAAAAACCUUCCUAGGUAAAAACUCACACUUCGUGAGAAAACCCUAGGAAGGAAAAGAGUACAGCCAGCUCCUUAAAGUAUUUAUAAGUUCAUAGUUCAGUGUUCAGUCCACAGUCAGUCCAUAUGAGCAUAUUACAGAUUUACAGCAGAUAAGAGAAGUAGAGAACUUAAAUAGGUAGAAACAGAGAGAAUAAGUUCAUAGUCCAGCUCCAGCCCUUCUUGAACUCUGUGGUGCUGCUUCCUUUCUUUUGUUCCCUGGUGAUACUCGCUGCUCAUCAUCUAGGUACAUAUCCUCAAAGGUUGCUUCAAGGUCUUUGGUUUCCUUCUCCACAGUAUGCUGCUUGUGCUGGUCAGCCAACUCCCAAUCUUUGAUACAGGAGAGCACCUCCACCAUGUCUGUCGUCAACCGUCGUCGUCGCUCCUCGAGCACCCUGCUAGCUAGACUGAAAGUAGAUUCUGAAGAUAUUGUAGAAACAGGGACAGUCAACACAUCUUUAGCUAGUAUAGAAAGAAUAGGAUAAGUUUGAUUGUGGCGUUGCCACCACAUAAGAAUGUUGAAAUCAGGCCCAAAUUUAGUUUCAGUGUCACUGUCAAGGUAAGAAGUUAACUCAGAUAAACUAGUAGAUGUACCAGCUGUACCACCUGUACCAGUAUUGCUAUAACUUUCAUCAUCACCAUAUGUUGGGGACUUGUUCUCAAAUGCUAAGAGUUAAGAACAGGGCAACAUAAAAAGUGUUAAGUGUUAAAGUCCUUCGUCCUUCGAAGCAUUAUGUCCCUUCGGGAAAUAAUGAGUUUCGGACGAAGGUCAUAAGAGGCAUACCUUCGUAAACAUAACAAGUAAUGACGAAGGACUCAUAUAAAGCAUGAAAUAUAAUAUAAGCAUCAUCAUAGAAUCAUUUCUAUUUUAUUAACAUGGAAACAUAGAAAUGAUUUCAAAUUACAAAAUGUACCUUCGGUCCUGAGAGAAGGUAAAAAGUACAAGCGUGACGCAAAAGCAAAUGCCAAGUCAGCGUGAACAGUACGGGGGUACUGUUCAUCUAUUUAUAGACACAGGACGCAGCCUGUAACGAAUUACAAUUAUGCCCUUUACAAAAGUUUACAACAUUAUGCUAGACCUCUAUGGAUAAAAAGGUCAUUCUAUCUUUAUGUCGGUUUGCAACGCCGAAGCUCUAUGAAAAGGAACCUUCGGCCAUUUCCUGGGGACGAUUUCAGCCGAAGCUGCUUCUUCACGCAAGACCUUCGGCGCAACGAAGCAUGGGCCCAACAGUAGCCCCUUUCGCGGCGCUAGAUCGUUUUUCGUAACGAGCUUGAACCGUGAAAAAUCCUCUCAAGCUUCGGGAAGCCGAAGGUCCAAAAAACACCUUCCCUGAGCUCGUUGCCGAGAAACGAUUCAUUUCCCGAGAUCGUGUCGGUCCCACCUUGCAGAGUCACUGUUUGGUCUUUGCGGUCCACUGCGCAGCGAGUACAAGUUACUGCCCGCCUGGUGUAAAAACCCUGCCGCUUCGCCUUCUUACCUGCAGCACUAUAUAAACAGACGAGUAGGUGUGAAGUUACCACAGCAUUUACUGCUAUUUGCACUGUUUUGCUGCCAAAAUUUUUAACCAUCACCGAAGCUUGUUUGUCAGAUUUGAACGAAGCUCCAUCUUGAAGCCUGCUUCGGAGAAAAAAGUAUCAAAGUUUCACAAGUUCAUAAUUAAAUGGCCAGAGUUCGCUCUACAGCUAGGGUUGAGCGUGAGGGGGACGAAACUGAAGCUUCGGAGACUGUGCCCAUCUCCGAAGCGAUGCAGCGCUCCGGACUGGUGACUGCGGAAGAAAUGCCUGCUGCCGAAGCAAACCCGACAGCUGCCGAAGGAGAAGGGAACAUUGAAGAAACCGACUCCGAAGAUGACUACCGUAUUGCCAUGCCCAGCAAACCCAGCCACCUAGACUUCGGAAAAUCGACUGUUUCAAAGGUUGAUCUCGCCAAGAUGGUGAAAGCAGGUUUUUUCAGUGAAGAUCAGAAGAAGCUACUUCGCUUCGGGGGAGAAGAGACCACCCCGAAGCCAGAGAAGGACGAGGUUGUCAUCUUCAAAAGCUUUUUAAAGGCUGGGCUAAGAUUCCCUGUUCACGAGAUUGUUGCGGAGAUAUUGAAGAGGUUUGGCAUCUACCUUCAUCAGUUAACUCCUAACGCUAUCGUUAGGCUUAGCGUUUAUAUUUGGGCCCUCCGAAGCCAAGCAGUGGAGCCUUUUGCUGACAGUUUCUGUCGAGUUCAUGAAUUGCAUUAUCAAACAAAGGCCAGAAAAGAUGGGCUUCAUGAAAACUUCGGUUGCUACAAUUUUGCCUACCGGAAAACCGCAAAGUUUCCUGUAAUCAGCUACCGAAGCAAAUGGCCGGCAGGCUGGAAAUCAGAAUGGUUCUAUGUCAAGGUUGAUGAGGACAAGGAGAAGCUUGUGCAAAGUCCACUCGAGCUAACUUUCGGAGAAACCCGACCCCACUGCAACAUGACACCAGAGGGUCAAACUCAACGGGCAAUGGAUGAAUUCAGAAUCAUUGCAGAGCAUAUUGGUACCAGGGAUCUGGUUCAAGAAUUCUUAGCAUUCAGAGUCUUCCCUACUCUGAAAAAAUGGGAAAUGCCAAAGUUAAAGGGGGAGAAGAAGGAAGGGGAUCUUGUCCGGCUUCCUUACCACUUCAAAUUCAAGAAAUAUUUUAAGAAGCCCUGCCAAGAGUGGCUGGAUACAGUUGAGGUGAUGUGUAAUGAAAUUCUUGGAAAUUGUUCGAAAAAAGAAGAUCAACUGAUGACAGCAGCCUUCGGCACCCGUCCGAAGCGAAGGCUGAACCGAGUGCUUGAUGCACUGGGUUUCGAAUAUCCUGAUUAUGCGCAGCUGAACAAAGGUGCUGAGGGCCAGAGAAGAAAAAGAGCGGCCGAAGCUUUAAACAAGGAUGAAGAACAACCACCAAAAAAGAAGAAAAUUGUCAAGAGAAAAAUAUCAACUCCAAAGCGAAAACUAUCCGAAGAAGAGGGGACCCCCACACCACCUUCUACUAGCGACGUGGAGGAAAUUCUAAAGGUAAUGACUGAACCCAUGCCCACGAAGCUAAGUCCAUUAGGGCCUCGACUGACGAAGCUUUUUCAAAAGGUGGCGGAGCCGGAAAAAACGAAGAUAGCCAAAGCGAAAAGGCAAAGAAUUAUUGCCGUAACAGAAGUUAUUGACAAGCCGCCACCGAGGGCGUCAAUUCAGAAAACACCAGCCGUUGAGGGCACAGAAAAUGUCGAAGUCGCACCUUCGGAGGUCGCGGCUACCGAAGCCGCUACAGCCGAAGAUGUAAACUUAGAAUCUGCUAUUGAAAACAUCAACAAAAUUUUAACAGACAUGGCUGCAGAAGAAGCUGCCACCACUACUGAAGAAACCAUGGUCACAGUGCCUGGGAAAGGGAAAGAAAUAGCCGAAGACACUUCGGACGACGAAGCCUACUCAUUUCAAAAUUUAGUCGGGCAAAAACUGUCGAAAGCCGAAAAAGAAGAGCUUAAGGAAUACGCCAAAUCUUGCGGAUACAAGCCAGGAGCUCUUCUAUUUGGAGGCAUUGAUGAUGAAAAACUGGGCUGCAUCCGGGACUCAGCUGGGGCUAAGGUCAUCGGUACUCUAUCAAAGAGUAUCGGUUUUCCGAAACUAGAGACAGACAUCAGCCGCUACCGACGACAACAUAUCGUCGGCAGCUUAUUUUAUUCAAAUUUCAAGGUAAACAUCCUUCUCUCUAACUUCUAUUGUUUUUUAAUAAUGGCAAUAUUCUUUAACGAAGGUUGUUUAUUUGCAGAGCAUGCUUCUAAGCAAAGCUCUGAGGAUGCAGCAAGAUCUAGAAGAUAAGAAGCACGAGGCUAUAAUUGAAAAUUUAGAGAGCAAGAUAAAAGAACAAUCAGCUAUUAUUGAAAAGAAAGACUUCGAACUUCAAUCAACCGAAGGCUUGCUGGCAGAGACUGAAGCCAAAGUAGCAGAAUUGAAUUCGAAGCUUCUCUGCCAAUCAAAACAAUUUGAACAAGAGAAGCUAGAACUUGGUUCGAAACUUGAAGCCGAAGUCCAAGCCAACUCAAAUUUGAAGAAAUCAUUAACAAGCCUUCAGGAUAAAUGUUUGAAUUUUAGCAACAAUUGUAUCCAACAACUAAAGAAGAUCUUUUACUCAGUUGGAGCCAGCAGCGGGAAAUUUACCCCUUCGGAUGAAGAUUUACCAAAAGCCUUCGAUCAUAUCGAAGCUGAAAUUGAAGAACUUGACGAAGUUAUAGCUGGGCACGGUGACUUCUGUGCCUGGGUAGCUUCUCGGGGUACUGCUGCAGCAUUCCUGAAGGCUGGCUGCGAGCAUGGAAAGAUUGUCAACAGGCCCAACUUCGCCCUGUCUCCAUCAAUUCUCGACGACAUUCCUGACCUCGCCCGGAGCAUCUCAAAUAGAUUCAUAAAAAUGAUAUGGACAAAAGGCGGGCGAGAGAAGGCUGGGGACGAAGCUCGAAGUCAUCUUGAACCAGUAAGAAAUCAUACUUUGUACUUACCUUCUCCUUCACACUUGAUUUUUACUUGGGAUACCUUGAUUCAUGUAGGAUGACGAAGCUGAAGGUGAUACUUAAAGUAUAUGCCGCCGAAGCAGAAACCUGACGAAGAUUAAUAGGAGUAGACUAGAAAAAACUCAGGAGAAUUUGUAACAACUUUUUGUAAAUACAAUUAAUCUAUUCUCAAGGAACUUUGUUCAUACCUUGUAAUAUAUUCUUACCCUUUUAUUGAGACGCUUUGAUGUGGACGAAAUCAGUAUUUUGAGCCGAAGGCGAAAAAACACCUUCCCUUCUUUUCGUACACAACGAAGCAUAAAAGACCAUUUCUUCUUUUUGCCAAAGCUUUUCUUUUUUGUACAUGACGAAACAUAAAAGACCGCUUCUUCCUCUUGCCGAAGCUUUUUCUUUUUUGUACAUGACGAAACAUAAAAGACCACUUCUUCCUUUUGCCGAAGCAACCACUUAGGAACACAAAUGCUAUGAAUGAAUGCUUAUGAAUGCAAAUGCUAUGAUGUAAUGUGCGAAUGAAUGUCCAAAGCAUAUAACCGAAGCCACACUCAACCAUUAUUUCCUUGGAAUCAACCACACAUCAGCUCUGCAUUCCCUUAGGAACGACUUUGGAGCUUCCUCGUCUUUUACUUAGACGAUAUAAACUCUGCAUUCCCUUAGGAACGUCUUUGGAGUUUCUUCGCCUUUUACUUAGGCGGUAUAAGCUCUGCAUUCCCUUAGGAACGUCUUUGGAGCUUCUUCGUCUUUUACUUAGACGGUAUAAACUCUGCAUUCCCUUAGGAACGUCUUUGGAGUUUCUUCGCCUUUUACUUAGGCGGUAUAAGCUCUGCAUUCCCUUAGGAACGUCUUUGGAGCUUCUUCUCUUUUUUCUUUUUCAGUUUCUGCACUCGAUGGUGCGUUCUCAGCUGUUACAUUUACAUUUUUUGGGGGAUUUUGCUCUUAUAAGACUAAAAAAGGAAAUUACACAUGAUGGCCCCAUUAAAAACCUUUCUCCCCCUUCGGAAAGGAAAAGGGUGCCAUGAAGAAGAAAAGAAAAAACAUAAAAAAUUACAUCAUGUUAUACAUAGUAUCGCCGAAGCUCAUCCGCAUUCCAAGACCUUGGAAUUUCGUUGCCAUCCAUGUCCUUCAAUCUGUACGAUCCAGGCCUUGACGAAGAUACUACUAAGAAUGGUCCUUCCCAUUUCAACUGUAGCUUACCCACUGUAACUGGGUUAGCCACUCUCCGAAGCACCAAGUGUCCCGGCUCAAUAUUUUUUAGCCGGACUUUUCUAUCUCGCCAUUUAACUGUUUCAGCCUGAUAUUUAUUGAUAUUCUCCACGGCCUGAAGCCUGAUCCCUUCUAAAGCAUCCUUUUCCACAAGGCAAGCAUCUUCGGGACCUGAUUCUGCCGAAGCUACUACUCUUAUUGAUCCAGCUUUUGCUUCCUCCGGAGUUAUUGCUUCGUCACCGAAUAAUAAUUUGAAUGGGGUAAAGCCUGUGGACCUUGAUGUUGUUGUAUUGUGGCUCCACACCACUUUGAUUAACUGAUCUGGCCACUUUCCCCUGGGUUGAUUGAAGAUUAACUUCAUUAUUCCUGUCAUUAUAAUGCCGUUGGCCCUUUCAACGAGCCCAUUUGACUCCGGAUGCCUGACUGAUGCAAAAUGGAUCUUCGUUCCAAUUUGAUCACAGAAAUUUCUGAAAGCUUCGGAGUCAAACUGCGUUCCAUUAUCUACAGUGAUUGCCUUCGGUACCCCGAAGCGACAGACAAUAUUCUGCCAGAAAAACUUUUGGACAGUGGCCGAAGUUAUUGUGGCCAAUGGCUUCGCCUCAAUCCACUUGGAAAAAUACUCCACAGCCACUAUAACAUAUUUUAGAUUCCCUUGAGCCGGUGGUAAUGGACCCAACAAGUCAAGGCCCCACCUUUGCAAUGGCCAGAUGGGUUGUAUCAGCUGUGUCAAAGACGAAGGUUGUUUUUGAUCUCUUGCACAUUUCUGACAACCUUCGCACUUUUGCACUAACUCCGCCGCAUCCGAAGCUGCCUUCGGCCAAUAAAACCCUUGGCGGAAGACUUUCCCAAGUAAUGGCCUGGAUCCGAUGUGGGAUCCACACAGGCCUGCAUGUAUCUCUUUCAUCAACUCUAUACCUUCGGCUCUAGAUAAGCACUUGAGCAGCGGAGCGCAAACUCCAUGUUUGUAUAAUUCCCCUUCUAUCAUGACAUACGGACGAGCUCUUGCCUCUAUUCUUUUAUUGUAAGCUUCGUCAUCUGAAAGGAACUUACCCUGAAGGUAAGAGAUUAUUUCAGUUCUCCAAUCUUCGCUGUAAACAGGAGAUAUGUUGAGGACUGCUCUUUCAAGGAGCUCCACUGAAGGUGCCUUUAUUGUUUCGAAGAACACAUCCGAAGGUAACGGCAGCCCCUGUGCCGCAGACUUAGCUAGCAAAUCAGCAUGCUCAUUUUGUCCUCGAGGAAUAUUCUUGACAGAGAAUCCUUCGAAGGAUGCUUCGAUCCUUCGGACCGUAUCUAGAUAUUUUUCAAGCUUCGGAUCUUUAGCCUUGCAACUUUUGUCAACAUGACCCGAAACCACCUGGGAAUCAGUUUUAAGAAUUGCCCUUCUGAUUCCCAUUGCCUUUAAUUUCCGAAGGCCAAAAAGCAGGGCUUCGUACUCAGCAAUAUUGUUCGUGCAGCUGAAAUCAAGUCUUGCUGCAUAACAAGUUUUGACCUUGGAUGGUGAAACCAAUACAGCAGCUGCACCUGCUCCGAAGAUUCCCCAAGAGCCAUCACAAAACACUGUCCACACUUCGGCAUCUUUAUUUGCUUCUUCAUCCUGAGCCCCUGGCGUCCAGUCGGCAAUGAAAUCUGCCAAUGCUUGAGACUGGAUCGAAGAUCUAUGCACAUAAUCAAUGUAAAAUUCGUUGAGCUCUGCAGCCCAUUUCCCAAUCCGUCCAGUAGCUUCUCUAUUUCUCAUUAUAUCCUUCAACGGCUGCGAAGAAGGAACAAUGAUAUUGUAUGCCUGAAAAUAAUGCCGAAGCUUCCUGGAUGCCAUUAAAACGGCAUAUAAUACCUUCUCCAGCUCUGUAUAAUUUUUCUUUGAGACACUAAGGACUUCAGAUACAAAAUACACUGGAACUUGCUUCUUAAGCUGGCCAUAAAGCUUCUCCUGGACAAGCGCCGCACUUACUGCUGAGUGCGAAGCUGCCACAUAUAACAACAGAGGAGCCCCUGGCGUUGGCGGAGUUAAUGUUGUGAGAUCUAUCAAGUAUUGCUUCAACUCUUCGAAGGCUUUUUGUUGACUUGGGCCCCAUUGAAAGACUUCGGCUGACUUCAGCACCUCGAAAAAUGGUAAGUUUCUUUCUGCUGAUCUGGAUAUAAAUCUGUUGAGAGAUGCCAGCCUUCCUGUCAAUCUUUGGGCCCCUUUUCUUGUAGUUGGUGGCUCCAUUCGAAGUAUAGCUUCGAUUUUAUUUGGAUUAGCUUCGAUUCCCUUUGUUGAAACCAAGCAUCCAAGAAAUUUACCCUUCUUUACUCCGAAGACACAUUUCUCUGGAUUCAGCUUCAAACCAGCUUGUCUGAAGCUGGCGAAGGUCUCCUGCAGAUCAACAAUAUGAUUUUCCUGCUUCGUGCUUUUGACGAUAAUGUCAUCAACAUAGGUCAACACAUUUCUGCCUAUUUGAGACUGAAGAACCUUCGCAGUCAUUCUGCUGAAACUUCCUCCAGCGUUUUUGAGCCCCUCAGGCAUCCGAAGAUAGCAAUACGUGCCACUUGGAGUUAUGAAGCUAGUUUUCGGCUCAUCUUCCUUUUUCAUCCAGAUUUGAUGAUAUCCUGAGUAACAGUCCAAGAGACUCAUGAGCUCUGAAGAAGCUGCUGCAUCGACUAGAGAGUCUAUCCUUGGCAACGGGAAUUCGUCCUUCGGACAAGCCUUGUUGAGAUCUGUGAAAUCGAUACACAUUCUCCACUUGCCAUUGGCCUUCUUCACCAUAACAGUGUUAGCUAGCCACUCUGGAUACUUCACUUCUCUGAUAACUCCUGCACUGAGGAGUCUUUUUACUUCAUUGCGAGCCCCUUCGGCCUUGUCAUCAGACAUUUUCCGAAGCCUCUGCUUUCAGGGUCUGAAGGAUGGGUCAACAUUGAGCGAAUGUUCAAUAACAUCCCGAUUUACUCCACAGAGAUCAUUAGCCGACCAUGCAAAAACAUCUUUGUUGUUGAAUAAAAACCUUAUCAAGGUUUUCUCCUGGUCUUCAGAUAAUUGCGAGCCCAACAGCACCUUCUGCUCUGCUAUGUCCUCACACAAUAGCAUGGGCUUCGGCUGAUCUGCUGAAGCUGCCUUCUCCCUUCUGAAUUUGUACUGUUCACAAGCUUCAGUUCCAUCUAUAUUAUGGAUUGCCUUGGAGUCGGUCCAGCUUCCUUCGGCCCUUCUAGCAGCUUCCUGGCUUCCAUGGAUAGCAAUAGGCCCUUGGUCCGAAGGUAUCUUCAUGCAAAGAUAGGCAGGAUGAAGGAUUGCUUCGAAGGCAUUAAGAGUGCCACGACCAAUAAUUGCAUUGUAAGGAUAUUCCAUGUCAACAAUGUCAAACACAACUUGCUCAGUUCUAGUGUUGUUGAUGAAUCCGAAGGUUACUGACAUGGUGAUCUUGCCCAGUGCUACAAUCUGUCUUCCUCCGAAGCCACAAAGAGGAUGUGUAGCAUCAUGAAUCUUAUCUUCUGGCUCUUGCAUCUGUCUGAAGGCUUUAGCAAAUAUGAUGUCAGCUGCACUGCCUGUAUCGACCAAGACAUUGUGAACCAGAAAUCCUUUGAUAACACAAGAGAUAACCAUGGCAUCGUUGUGUGGGUAAUCUUUUAGCUGAAGGUCCUCUUGAGAGAAGGUAAUAGGAAUGUGAGACCAUCUUGAUUUGAUGAAGGGACCUUGCACCCCAACAUGCUGUACUCUUCUCUGCGCUUCCUUCUUCUGCUUCUUGUUAGCUGGCUCUGAGGACGAGCCACCUGUGAUCGGGAGCACCAGCUUCGGGUCCGAAGCAACUCCAGCUUGAUUGUUGAACGAAGCCAUCAGCUCAGAAAAGUGGAAGUGAGUUCACCGGAGGUGGGCGCCAAUGUUGGGGACUUGUUCUCAAAUGCUAAGAGUUAAGAACAGGGCAACAUAAAAAGUGUUAAGUGUUAAAGUCCUUCGUCCUUCGAAGCAUUAUGUCCCUUCGGGAAAUAAUGAGUUUCGGACGAAGGUCAUAAGAGGCAUACCUUCGUAAACAUAACAAGUAAUGACGAAGGACUCAUAUAAAGCAUGAAAUAUAAUAUAAGCAUCAUCAUAGAAUCAUUUCUAUUUUAUUAACAUGGAAACAUAGAAAUGAUUUCAAAUUACAAAAUGUACCUUCGGUCCUGAGAGAAGGUAAAAAGUACAAGCGUGACGCAAAAGCAAAUGCCAAGUCAGCGUGAACAGUACGGGGGUACUGUUCAUCUAUUUAUAGACACAGGACGCAGCCUGUAACGAAUUACAAUUAUGCCCUUUACAAAAGUUUACAACAUUAUGCUAGACCUCUAUGGAUAAAAAGGUCAUUCUAUCUUUAUGUCGGUUUGCAACGCCGAAGCUCUAUGAAAAGGAACCUUCGGCCAUUUCCUGGGGACGAUUUCAGCCGAAGCUGCUUCUUCACGCAAGACCUUCGGCGCAACGAAGCAUGGGCCCAACACCAUAUAUAUCAUCUCAUGCCUCUGUGGCCUUACUAGAACCACUAGCUGACUGUGGUUGAGGAGUCAAGCAAAUACCUCCAAAUUUGGCCUCAUAAAUUUGGUACAUCUUAGUUAAUUUGGUUCUAAUACAUGAAGGAUAUCUACUAUAAUCAGUGCCAUUAAGAGUAGAUAAUCUUUUAAGAACUUUAUGAAAGCCCCUCAUCUUUGCUCUAGGAUCAAGAAUGAAAGCAAAUGCAUAAAGAAUGGGUAUGUCCCUCCAAUAUUUCAGAAAUUUUGUUUUCAUAGGCACUACAGCAGUUCUUAAAAGCUCAUGGUUCUCAUAUGCAUUUAGAUGUCUAGCAAUUUUCAAAAUAUGAUGCAACAUUAAGGGUGAUGUAGGGUAAUAUAUUCCAGAUAGUGCAACAGUUGAGUCAUAGAAUAACUGAAAGAAAGACAAUAAUUUUUCUGCAACAACCAAUGAUUAUCACUCAACAAACAAGACCCAUCAUCUUUGGCAGGAGAAUUAGUUCUAAUCCACACAGAGAAAGUACUUUGAUAAGGAACUAAAUGUUUAAGCAUCAGGAAUGUUGAAUUCCAUCUAACUUCCAUAUCUACUCCAAAUUUACGUGGUCUAACACCAACACUCAUGCAAUAUUGUUUAUAAGAAGCAAUUCUUUGAUUUGAAGAGUUUAAAAAAGUUAUAGCAGUCCUAAAGUGUUCAAGAUAUGGUUGUAAACGUUUCAAACAACUUUUAACAAUCAGAUUAAUAAUAUGGCAAGCACAACGCUAAUGCAAAAAUAUUUUACUCAAAUCACUCUCAUUCCUAGUAGGUGAAGGUACCAAAUGCCCAAUAUAACCAGCAAAGACAGGUUUCAGAACAUCAAUAGCAGUUUUGUUAGAUGAGGCAUUAUCAAGCAUAAUGGCAAAAAUCUGAUCAGUAAUGCUAAAGUCAUUUGCAACCAUUUCAACACGUUCAGCAAUGUUAAGACCUGUAUGAGCUACCUCUAUAGGUCUAAGACCAAGUAAUCUCUUUUCUAAACACCAAUCAGAGUUCACAAAAUGAGCAACAACACUUAUAUAGUCCUCUUUAGCUUUACCAGACCAUAUAUCAGAUGUCAAAGCAACAGAUGAAACAUGUUUAAGUACUUCAAUCAGUUGUUCAACACGCUCAUUAAACAGUCGGAUCAAGUCUCUAGCAGUAGUUUGCCUAGAAGAUUUAAUAAACCUUGGAUUGUGGGCAUGGGUUAUAUACUCCUGAAAAGCACUAGAUUCACCAAAACAAAGUGGCAGGUCUAGCCUAGCUAUUAAACGACAGAGCUCAGUUCUAGCAACAGAAGGGGAAUACUCCCAGUGAUUAACAGAUCCAUCAGCAUUAUAUUUAAGCAAAGACUGUGUUUUUCCAGUUCUGUCUUUUUCUUUCUUAGCAGGGCAAACAUCCAGGUGUCGGAUCAAAUGGCCAGUUCCAGAUGAAGAUUUAGCAGACAUGCUAUUCUUGCAGUGAAGACAAAUGGCAGAUACUCUUACCUCCUUACCAUUUUGAACGGCAGUUACCUCCUCAAAGUGCAGCCAUACCUUAGAGGUCGGACCUCUCCUUCUAGAACGUUUACCAGCCACAGGGACAGAGGUGCUCGCGUCGGCCGUCGGGCUUGUGGAGCCCGUCCCCGUUUGUGCACCGGCGCCGUCCAGAUCGAUGGCACCAGCGUAGGUGGUACCAAGGAGGAGGUACCGGGCAUCGUCGGCCUCGUUCUGCGCUUCAAGCCUCCGCUCCUCGAUCACUGCUUCGAGACUGAGCUCGUCAUCAGCCGAGGCCGUGGACAUGGCCACCGCCUCGGUCGGCUUCUCCGGCUCCUCAUGGCGCGCGGCGCACACACACGGUGCACACCUAGACGAAUCGAAGCAACAAGAUUAAGCACAAGAAGAUGAAUCGGAUUAAGAGAGAGACGAGACCAAGAGCAAGAAAACUUUACCUGCAACACCGGAGCACCGGAUCCACGAACCGGAUGGCUGACGGCAGAGGCAGAGGAGCGAGCUUGGCGAAGAUCGAGUUCUAGGGUUAGGGUUAGUGAGGGUCGAGGGAGAGAGGAGCGAGGAUGGAGCAAGAGAGGAGAGGAGCAGCGAGCAGGAGGCGAGGACACCAGAGUUCACCGCUCCGUCGACACCGUAGGGCGGAGGCGAGGACACCGGAGCGGCGGAGCCGAAUCGCCUGUCGCCGGUCACGAGCCCACAGGAGAGGAGACGGAGAGGCCGAGACAGAAAAUGGGAUGCUAGGGUUACGCACGCGUACUCCUUACGCGACGCCGCGACGCCUUAUACGGCUUAACGGGCCGGCGCCGUGCCGCGGCUUACGUGGGCCGGGCUCGUGCCUACACCACGGGCCCACAUGGCAGCCCAAUCACGGCACGGGCACCGUGCCGGGCUGGCACGGGCACGCCGGCCGUCGUGCCGGGCCGGGCUUUCCCCGUGCUUGGGCGUGCCGGGUGCCGGGCUGCACCACGGGCCAGCCCGUUUUGGACAUGUAUACCCUCUAGUGAUGGGCAGGGGCGGCGGUUUAUAUUCCCCGCGAGGACCCCCCAUCGGCCGAAGAAAACAGAGUCUGUUGUGGAGUUUGUUGCGGAGUUAGUUGGUCAUGAGCUCGAAUGUCAACGGAGUUCUCCGUCGCGCGAGGUCCGCGGAUUCUGUUGCUAGCCGCGAGUCCGAGUCGCACCCAGGAGGUCGGAGACGCCCGCGGCCCGGAGUUCACCCAGCUUUCCAGGGAACCAUUGAGACCAGAACGACGAGAUUUGGUGGCGCGCGACGGCGAACGCGGAGGUGUUGUUACGUUGAAGGAGAACCUGACGGUGCAGGUCCACGAGUCAGUGAGGAAUUUGGCUUAGGCGCGCGCAGUGCUCGCUGACAAGGCGGUCCCGCAGUCGGCCACACACGUGAAGUGGGCGCGAGGGAGUAGUCCGCGCCCAGGAGAAGGGUUCAGGAUCGCGUUUGGUGGUGGGCCGCGCGAGAGCAAGGGAGAUGGGCCGCAUGGGGCAAUUUCGGCCCAGAUGAGGUAGAAUUGAUUUGUUUUUUGUUCAUUUCCAUUUCCCAUUUCUAGUUUUCAAACUUGAAUUCAAUUAUGUGUUUUAAAUGCUCAUCCAAAAUUCUAGCAUGAUGCAAUUAUUUUGAAUUCAAAUUCGAAUCUAGGUUCAGGAUUCACAUUCAUAUGCAUAAUUAUAACAACACUUCCACAUGCAAAAUAUAAUUUUAUGUUAUUUAUUUCUCAUCUCAUUUAUUUAUGCUUAUGCUUUUAAAUGUGCACACAAAAUAUGUAUUUUAAGAAAUUUAGUUCUAGUUUUAAAAAGAUCCUUAAGAGUAAAGUCUAGAAGAUAUGAUUUAUCAAAGGAACAAAUUAUUACUGAGCUCCUUUCUUUCUUUUUUUUUCUGGAAACAUUGUUUUAGGAUGUAUAGUUUCAAAGGUAAGAUAAUUCUUAUGAAAAAUAUAUUUUAACUCAACUUCAGGGGAAAUUUUUACAUAAUUCUCAAAAUGAGAUUUUGAGGUGUUACAAGGCACUAGCGUUGGUGUCACAUUGAUGAUGAGAAGAAGCUUGGCGACUGCUAGUUCGACCUCUAGAAGUAGUCCUACGUGGCCGCAUGCGCCGCUGUGUAUGACAAGCUCCAGCGAAGCCGCCACUUAGACACGGUCUAGAGCAGCUGCACCGCGCUGUCCAUCGUUAAGCAGGGAGACCUCAUGGUUGUCGCCAACGUAGACGACUCUCGGGUUGUUCUGGACACCGCAUCCGACGACAACGCCAUCACGCCGUACAUGUCAUCGUCCACCUGAAGCCCAACCUGCCACAUAAGUCACUAUUGGCUGAACAUAAAUUCUUGUGUGCUGGGACGAUGGACGUUGCUGACGUUGUGUGAGUGUCCUCGAACAUGAUGUAUGUAGUGGAGUAGCGCAUCAGGUGGUGCAACAGCCAGGGGUACUACCUCGCUGAUGAGCCUGGGGUGCACUUCGUUUGGCAGCCCAACCAAGAGUCAUCGGUACUCGUCAUGUCGCGCGCGUUCGACGACUACUAUAUCGAGGAUUGUGGUGUCAUCUUGGCGCCGGAGGUGACGCAGAGGAGGAUCGACAACAGUGACCAGUUCGUCACCCUCGCCACCACAGGGUAGCUUUUAUGCCGGCUUGCUUUAAUUCUCUUCACAAAUACACACACUUGCCUUUUUGUUUAAGCAAGAGCGUAUGAUGGUGUGUGUCUGAUGACUAACGAUGUACGAGGGAAGUUCUUCCAGCAUGUGUGGAACAUGCUCUCCAAUGAUGAGACCAUACAAAUCGUGGCAUGUAUCAAAGUCUGCAUGAUACUGAUGGUUGCAAUGUAGUGGCGAAACAACUAGAUUAAAAUAACAAAAUUUAUGUAUGGCUAGGAUCACAAAUUGAUUAUGAAACCUUUUCUCAUAACAAUAUAACACACAUUUUGUAUAUAAGUUAUCGUAGUAUACUGGUAUUAUAUAUUCCCGUUGCAAUGCACGGGCACUCAGCUAGUUUACAUAAAAGUGUUUUGGGAAUUAUUUGAAUUCCUUUUCCUUGUGCAUACUCACUUAAGGGAGUUAAAGUAGUCAAAUAGCAAAUAAAUAAAUAAAUAUAUGGUGUUACCUUCAUAUUAGGAUUUUUAUUGGAUAUAUUUGGAAAGCUGAAGUUCAAACAAGAUUUAAAUUUGAAAUAAAGUUUCAAAUUUGGAAAAUAAAGGAUAAAAGGAAAAAAGAAAAGAAAGAAAAGAAACUCAAGCAUGCGCUUUGGGCCCAAUCUGCCACGGUCGACCCAAGCAACCAUCUCGUAGCUCCUCAUCCGGUGCAUAGCCACUGCGCCGCGGGGCCCACCUGGCGGCCUCACCUUCCGCGCUGCUCACACCACUGACUUCAUGGGACCACCAGUCAGCACGGACUGAUACUGUGCACGCUUGUGAACCAGCUCCUCCUCCAUUGACUAUGGGGUCAAUGUACAUCCAACACCGGGCGUAGGCUUAUGCCUCUGUGUGGUGGGGCCAUGUAACACCCCAGGUGUUACCAAGGCCCUGACUCCCUACUUGCACCUAUGACCUGUUAUCUCAUGUGGUUAAGUGGAAGAGAGGGAGCACCAAAACCUUGGGAACCAUGUAUUAACCAAGAAUGUUAAUGACCAAAAGCAUUACCCAAGCAUUUAUGCAAUUAUCACCUUGGGCAAGAGAAGAUUAAACCCUAGACCCUUCUUGAGCCCUUAACUCCCAAAACCCUGGUUUAAGGGGGGAAAGGUUAAGCAAAUGUGCAAUCAUGAGUUAACCCUUAGCCAAAGUUUAGGUAACAUUAUAAUUUACAAAAAUGCAGAGAGGAAACAUUACAAAAAGACCCCUUAAAAACCCUAAAUUCAUUCUUUAAGUGGAGAGAGCACUAGAGCUCUCUAGUUCUUUCUAAGUCAAAUUUUAAACCUAAUUUAAAGAUCCACCGUGUUCACUUGGUAGAUGGCACCAAAACCACUUGAGUUGUAUACCAAAAAUGUCUCAUACCACCUAAGGCACCCACUGGAAAAGUUUGAAACCGAGCCCAAGACGUUUGAUAAGAUUUGGCAUGGCUUUUGUCGCGAGGUGGGCAGAGGGACAAGCCAGAUUUGGCGUCCACAAAUCUCCCUACCUAGGGCAUAUCUGCCAUGGGGACUCACAUAUAAGAGACAGCCCUAGGUGCUAGGAGGAGGCCUGCGCCGGAUUUUUGCCAAGAUUCGCACGCUUGCGAUCUCGGCGAGCUGUUGAACAAGGGCAGAAGAACACUUCCACGUGUUCGACGCGCUCUGAGCGCGCCAGUGCACGCCCAGCGCCCGACCCCGCGCGCCCCGCGCCGCGCCCGUGUCUCGUGCUCGCACCCGCGCCUAUAAAACCCCUUAGACGUCGACCGUACUCCUCCGCGUGCUCUCCACCUCACCGGAUCCAGAGAUCACCGGCGUUUGCCCUGCAAACGGCGUGCCCGCGGCCACCCGAUCCCCUACCACCGUAGACAGGCCUGCAGAGCCCUUCCCAGCCACGCCCGACCCUCGGAAGAGACCGUGCAUGCCUCGGUGAAGCUCCCCGAGCAAGGAAUCGGACUUUGCCUCGCCGGAGAAGCCAGUCCACGGUCGCCGGACUUCACCCGACCGCCGGUGAACGUAGACCGGGUAAGUCUCUGCACCAUUUUUCGAUUCCUUGCGCACAUAGCCUCUACGUCAUCCCGUGGAGCUCAUCGUGCCGUUUAAUUGAACUAGAUCGUCAUGGUUAAGCCGGAGCACCCGCCGCCGACAAGUUCACCCACCUGCGCACGUGGACCGGCUGAUUCCGGCCACCACCGCCAUCGAGCCGUACCUUGCUGUGACCGCCAGGACCUCCCGAAGCCAACCCCGCCCCUCGCCGGACCUCUCUCGCCGCCGGUAAGCCGCGCCGCCCUUUUCCUUUCUGCUGUUACUGUUUACAUAAGGGGAGGGACCUCGGGGGAGAAGAAGAUAAGGCUGGGGGGUUUUGUGCGCUGUCAGUGACUCAAGGGAACAGUGGCGCAGGGGUAGAAAUGAGUGGAUUGAUUUAGGAAGAACCCAGGGUCUUCGAUGCAAAGUAGUUUUCUAGGAAACCUUUUAAAAUAUUCUGAUUUAAAUCCAAACAGAACUUGAAAAAUUCAUAACUUCAGUUUGGUUUACCCAAAUCGAAUCAAACAAAUUUUGCCAGAUCCUUAAUAAUUUAAACUACUUAGGAAAAAUAUAAAACCCCUAAGUGUUACAGAAAACUUUAAAGUUUUGAUUUAAAUGAUUAACUAGUCAAAAUGCUAAAAGAAAAAAGGAAAAAUAGCUACACUAUUUGACUGGGGGUAAGAAAAUUUAGAGAAGUACUUAAUCACUUCCUAACCUAUUUAAAAAUAAUAAACCCCUCUGUACACCCCUUUAAGGUAGAGCUUGCCAAUUAAAUCACUUUUUGCUUAAAGUAGCAGAAAAUAUAAAAGGUGGUUUAAAUAAAGAACCAGGGAGCACCCACAUUUUUGUUAGUUUACUUAUUCAGUGUAGUUCACUAGAAAAAUUUAUUAUACCCUUGUUUAGUGCAAAAGAAAGGAGAUACCUUUUAAAUUAGAAAAACAAGGAAACCUUAGAAAAACCCUAGAAAAAUAACCCUAAGGAGAAAACACCCCAAACCUUAGGAUAACUAGUGUUUUGUUAUUAUGAACAUAGGAAAAAUAUGAAAUCUGUUGUUUGAUAUUUUUCAAAUAACAAGUUAGUUAUAAGCACCUUUUUGGCAUAAAACUUUAGAAAUUCACAACUAAAUAUCCAGUAGGCCUUUUUAUGUGAUUUUUAACACAGAGGCCUAAUAUCAUCUAUGUAUCUAGACAAAAAUACAGUUUGGUACAGAAACCCCAAUUAAAUCACAGCUAUAGUGUAAAAUGCCCUUUUAAAACUUAUUUUUGUUAAUUUUUCACAAGUAGUAUCUGAAUCCGUAUCCACCUCAAAUUUAUAGGACAGCCUGCAGUGACAAAUAGUAACCCACUGUAAUUUUUAUAGAAUUUUUGAAAAAAAUUAAACCACUGUUGUAGUUUAAACCCCCACUAGAAUUCAUAAAUAGAAAAUGAAAAAGGGAAUUAAUAGUGGAGAUUAAUGUCACCCUAACCCAACCAGCAAAACCCCUUAAAUGCCUACUACAACAUCUAAGGGAAAUCCAAGUUUCAAUCCACUAUGCUUAUCCCUAGGCAAAACUCAAACCUAAAGUUGAUAAGCAUAAACCACUAAGAGCCACGUAUAACCAGGAAACCCUAAGUUACUAACUAACUUAGUUUUUAUUCACUUAUCAUAAUGAUUAUUAAAAUCCUGCAUAAUCAUAGCAUACAUAUUCUUAUUCAUUGCAUUCGAUAGAUUGCAACCUCGCUGACGGAGAGUACGUCCUCGUGCCGGAGCAAGGAGUUGCUCAGGAGGUAGCCCCGGAUCCAGCACCAGAGCCUGCCCCAGAGGAUCUGCCUGCCCCAGCUUUGGAAGGCAAGCCCCGGUUUUAUGCAUAACCUGUUUUAUAUGCUAUUUUACUACACUUAAUGUUUGUAGGCUUGUAUUGUGCACUUAAGUGUAGGAGUUGGUUGAAACCCUAGUUGCAUGAACUCAGGAAUCCUUUUUGUAAUGAAUACUAGUAUGCUAGGUCGAGUAGCUGCCUUAUUAAUUAGGAUCUCGGUAGAAGUCGAGUGAUUUUUCUAGCACUCGCGCGAGGUCAGGAAUUGGUUGUACCCACUUUCAAAUCAUAAUGAUGCUGGUCUGUGGACAACAAUCCAUGGGGAUUGGUUGUCUACGAGAUGGAAAAUUGGAAUAAGGAUAAAAACUCGAUUCGAAUCGUCUGCUUCUUGCAGCUAAUGAGACUGCUUGAUCCAUUGUACUGCAUUGAGUAACAUGUGGAAAUGUGAUGAUGUGGCAAAAGAUGCUGAUUGCUAAAUUUGCUUGAUACCAUGAAUGAGUAUAUAGUACACAUCUAGUCUUAAGAGAGUCACACUAAAACUUGACAAAGCUAAAACUUGAUUUAUAAACUCAGCUAGUGCUUUUGGCAACCAAACCCCACAGCCAAACAGCUGCAUGUCUAGAGGUAGAGGAGUAGACUCCUCACACUGGGUAAGUCUAGCUGAGUAUUAGUAUACUCAGCCUUGCUUGUGGCAUAAUUUUACAGGUUCUCUGGAGGACAUGGUUGCUGGAGUGACUUGGCCGUCCAUCUUGCCACUGGGUUGGACUGUCGAGUGGGACCCUGCCUCAACUGAGGAGGAUCAUGAGGAGUGAUAGGACAGGCUUCCCCAUCUCUCCGUUUAUUUACCGUUAGUUUUAUUCCGCUGCACUUCGAACAAUGAUGACUACUUUUGCAAAAACUUCGAUGAUGAUGUAAUAAAUUCAAUACUCCUUAAUGUAUGGUUUUAUGCUUUAUUGUAUUUGCUCUGUGACUCACCAUCGAGUGAGACUGUGGUACUUGAUCCUGUCAGUGGCCUCGUCGGACUAGAUCCGAGGGAUUGACGGGUUAUUCCCAUUUAAGUGUGGUCUAGCCUCUAAGGCGGGACUUAGACACUUAAGCUGGAAUAAUUAGGGCAGUUCCGCCACAGGCCAGACACGCAGAAACCUCAUCUACCUCCCCUCAACAAACUUGUGUGUAUCUCGGGUUGUUACGACCGCGUGCGCUGGCCAUCCUCCAAAUCUAGGCUCUGCUCUACAUAUUUAACCGAAACCCCGCCUCUUCCAUCAAUCAUCAUGAGACGGCAGGGCACCUCACCGGGCGGAACGCCGAAUUACUCGAGAUAGCAGGGGAAAAGAAUUAAGUAACCCGACAACGACGAUCGCUGAUGCGACCUCGCCUAGGCUUUGGGCGUCGCUCGAGAUCUUCACUUGGGAAUCAUGAUUGCGAAGCUGGAAGUUGUCGAAGUGAGAAACCGAGAAGUGCUUGUCGGAGCUCGGGUGCAUCCUCGCUCCCGCACUCCGCCGUGGUCAGGCGUCGCCACAUCCCGGGCUGCCAUGGGUGUGUCUGUACUGAGUUCAUCUCCCUCUCCGCUGUGUAUUACCCUGCCAGAUCAGAUUAUUGCGUGGUCGGGGAAUAACUUUCUCACAUGAUUCAUUAAUCAACAUAGACAUAGUUUUCAUAUUCGAUCACAUAAAACUUAUGAAAAUCAUAAAUUUAUAAUCGUAUACUAACUCCGAUUUUAGUGGUUCUCGAACCUAGAUUUUCAUUGCGACGCGUAGAUCAUCAUUAUGCAGUUUGUUCAUAUGUUUGGUGUGAUGUUAAUUUUGCCUAUAUCAUGUUUGGUUGUAUUGCUUUGAAUAGCAGUGAGGUCACGAGAAUAUGAAGAUCAUCAUGGUACCUGGAAUCUCGAUUCCCAGGCAAGUUGUGCCCUUGAUCACUUUUGUUUACCAAUAAUGUUCUCUAUAAUCAUUUUGGCAUGCAUAGGCUUAAUUUUGAUGGGACCCAAUAGGUCACCCUAGUUUGGUUAUCUUUACACCUUGUUUACCCCAGAACUUUUGGGUAGUCUUUGCUAUUGCUAUAUAUGGUUUUGGGUGUUUCACAUGGUCAUUGUUUAUUAUUAUUGUUCUAUUUCUGUUCAUGAUAAGACCAUUAUGUUAAUUGGAACAUCGAGCUUAACUUGAGAAACACAUGCCACCACAAGGGUGAAAUGGGCGCCCUUGGCUGACUAAUUAGGAAAGCUAGUGGAGGACUACCUUACCCGAAAGGGGCAAGGGCAGUAGGGGAGUAGGCGUGUAGGGAGGUUCCCGGGUUGAUUUUGCUGCGAUGGCGGUGAGAGGGGGAUUUCUGCAUUGCUCUUCCUAGAACUGUAGCGGGUUUUCUGAAGCUAGUGGAACUUUGUAUGGGCCUCGUAGUGUUACCCUACCUCGCUUCCUUGGUAGAGGUGUAUGGGGCCCGUACAACCCCAUGGCAGAUGGGUAACAUGACUUGUGGGUAAAGGGUACCACCUCUGCAAAGUGUAAAACUAGUAUACUAGCCGUGCUCGCGGUCAUGAGCAGCUCAGGACUCUCACAUGAUUAAUUUAUGGAAUUAAAUUCAAUUUGUCAUUUGCAUUGCAUUGUGGAUUAUUAUGAAUUUUGAUCUAUUAUUACUCUGGUUUGAUAUCUACUUAUACUUAGUAACUACUAAUAAAAAUUUGACCAACUUUAAAAGCGAUGCUCAGCUUUAAGCAUCCUCUUUGGUAAGCCUUACACUUCACAUGAGCUCCCACCUUUGGCGAGUUCAUGCAUAUUAUUCCCCACAACUUGUUGAGAGAUGAAAGUAUGUGAGCUCACCCUUGUUGUCUCACACCCCCACAGGUCAAGAACAGGUACCACAGGAUGAGACGCAUGGAGGAUGCUGUGAUGAGUUUGUGAGAGGUCUAGGCCGUCGUCUCCCAGUCAACUUUGGGUUGCUGGAUCGUUGUCUUCAUAUGAUGUAUUAAUUUAUUUAUUUCAUACAGAACUCCUAUUAUAUAGUAAAGACGUGACAUUCGUUUUUGUACCAUAAGUCAUCAUAUGUGUAAGACUUGGUCCUAGCACACUUGGUGAUUAUGUUCACGCUCGGGUCUUGGUGCCCCCGAAACCCGGGUGUGACAGAAGUGGUAUCAGAGGGAUGUUGACUGUAGGACGAAACCUAGAUAGAACUGGACAACCCUUACCUACUUACCUUUGCUACUUUGAUUCUUUCUAAGCUUUUCUUAAUCUUUUCUCAUCUACUACUGCUUUACUCUGAUUAUUCUUACCUUUUCAUCUCUACAGACAAAAGUGGAUUUCACACUUUGAAAUCCUGUACCUAAAGAGACCUUUCGGAAUAGGAAACCAAAUCUUAGGUACAAAAACAAAACUAUUUUUAUAGAUAUUUAUGUGCUUCAAUGGUUGUUCUUAUGAUACUUGUCUGAUUUGGAUCUUUGAUUGAGUGUGAUGAGUUGUGGAGUAAUGUCCACAAUUGCAUCAGCAUAUACAUAUAGGCAUAAAAAUGCUUGUAAAAAAAUAACUAGACAAACUAGAUUAUCCCUCAUUAAAAUAUAUCUAGCUUAAUAGAUCCAUCUUGUCUUAAAAUAUACUCUCUUACCUUAAUAGAUUCAUCUUAUCUUGAAAAGAUUUUAUCUUAUCCUAAUAGAUCUAACUGACCUCAAAAGAUUCUACCUUAUCCUUAUGGAUUCAUCUUGCCCUAAUAAGCGUAUUUAUCCCACUCUAGAGUAACAACCAUGAUCUAGUCCAAAAAAUUAAUUAGAUCUUAACUACUCUAAUCUAGUCAUAACCAAUCUAAUUUAGAUACCAUCUAAUAUAACAUGAUCCAAUCUACUGAUGAAAUGGAUUAGACCCUAGUUCUAUACACAUGUCCUAACCUAAAUUAAUUUUCUGGACUAACUCGUCCGCGAACAACAACCUAACCUGCAUCACAGGUUGCCUAAUCCAUCUAUCUCAAAAGCAAAGUAAAACUCUGUUUAAAUCUACCUAUUCCAUGUACCCCAUCUAUCCUAACUAUAUGUCCUUAACUCGGAUGGCAACUCCAAGAUUGGAGAUCGAAGGUGAUCGACCACGUCAAGAUAAGGAAAGACAGAAGACAAAAAAAGUGGAUCUACAAAAGCUGGGAUCCAUCAUCCGGGAUAGAAGUUUUUCGUACCUAACCCUUCUAACCCCAACCUAUCCUCGCUUUAACCAAAUUUCACCUCACCUCGACAUAGAAGAUGCUUAUAUUCCAGUUGCUAUUAAAAUAAAUAAAAAAAGCUUUUGGUAUUUGGACCAUUUAGAAACUAAAAGCUAAACCACAAAUCAAACUAUCUAGAUCCCUCUCCUAUAAAAAAUAUGUAAACCCCGUUGGACCCAUCUUAUGAUUCCCGACCAUCUACUUGUCUAAACCGCCUAAACCCUAGUGGGGACACCAAAAUAGUAGGAGAUCAACCUCGGCAUGGAAGAAUAGGAGUCAAAUGAGAUCUCGAGAUGAUUCAAGAUUCACCAGCUUGGAUGGAGUCUUUCCUUGCCAUAAGCUUUCUAACUUCAACCUAUUCUUUCUCUAACCAUUUCUAAUCCUACUUGUUAGCUAAAACAUAAUAUGCCCAUGUUUUUCUAGCCAUACCUAGUAAUGCAAAGUAACUUUUGAGAGCAUUAAAAUUAACUGGAAAAUAAAAGUCAAGACUAAACACAAAACCUUAUUUACCCCUUUUCUUACUAAUCUCGAGGACGAGAUUAUUUUUAAGGGGGUAGGAUUUGUAAAGCCCUAAAGUUUGUAUAAUAAAAUAAAUAAAUACAUUUAUUUACAUAAAAGUGUUUUGGGGAUUAUUUGAAUUCCUUUUCCUUGUGCAUACUCACUUAAGGGAAUUAAAGUAGUCAAGUAGCAAAUAAAUAAAUAUGUGGUGUUACCUUCAUAUUAGGAUUUUUAUUGGAUAUAUUUGGAAAGCUAAAGUUCAAAUAGGAUUUAAAUUUGAAAUAAAGUUUCAAAUUUGGAAAAGAAAGGAUAAAAGGAAAAAUAAAAGAAAGAAAACAAAAAGAAACUCAAGCCUGCGCUUUGGGCCCUAUCUGCCUCGGCCGGCCCAAGCAACCAUCCUGCAGCUCCUCCUACGACGCAUAGCCACUGCACCGCGGGGCCCACUUGGCGGCCUCACCUUUCGCGCUGCUCAUACCACUGACUUCAUGGGACCCCCGGUCAGCACGGAUUGAUACCGUGCACACUCGUGAACCAGCUCCUCCAUUGAACGCGGGUCCCACGAACAGCCAACACCAGGCGUAGGCUUAUGCCUCUGUGUGGUGGGGCCAGACAUGCAGAAGCCUCAUCUACCUCCCCUCAACAAACUCGUGUGUAUCUCAGGUUGUUGCGACCGCGCGCGCUGGCCAUCCUCCGGAUCUGGGCUCCGCUCUGCGUAUUUAACCAAACCCCCGUCUCUUCCAUCGAUCAUCAUGGGAGGGCAGGGCACCUCGCCGGGCGGAACGCCGAGUUACCUGAGAUAGCAGGGGAAAAGAAUCGAGUAACCCGACAACAACGACAGCUGAUGCGACCUCGCCUAGGCUUUGGGCAUCGCUUGGGAUCUUCGCCGGGAAAUCACGAAUGCGGUGGUGGCGGUUGUCGUAGCGGGGAACUGAGAAGUGCUCGUCGGAGCUCGGGUGCAUCCUCGCUCCCGCACCCCUUCGUGGUCAGGCGUCGCCACAUCCCGGGCUACCAUGGUUGUGUCUGUACUGAGUUCAUCUCCCUCUCCGCUGUGUAUUGCCCUGCCGGAUCGAAUGAUAGAUGAGACUAUUGCGCGGUCGGGGAAGUACGGCGAUGGCGCCGCCGUGGGCGGAUUCCGGUCACCGUGGGGCACUCGCGCCACCGUACCUAGUCUGCCAAGGGUGGGUGAUGGUUGCCGGUGAUCGUUGACGAAGCGAGGAAUAGAUCAGAUUAGAUCGUGGGUAUUUAAAACCCUGACAGUAGAUCUAGGACCCAACGACGUAGAUUAGAUGAGGGAUACCUCUACGCUUAAUUGAACCCUGGCCAUCCGAUCGGCUAUGGGCAGCUGGGAUCUGGGUGGCGCAUACCUUCUCGCGUGGUUAGAUCCGGGUCGUCCAGUCCUGAUGUGGCGCGUGAGAUUAGACCACAAAACUUUAAAUCGCGACCGUCGGAUCAUGAUCGUACUGCCCUCGGUGCGUACCAGUUCGUUUUAAGUUACGCUUAAUCUGGGCCCUUGGUGCGCGAACUAGCGGUCGAUCCUCACCCGUACUCUCUUCGGCCAGGUAGUAAUGCAAAAGAACUCGUGGGUUUCGAGGGAUUAAACCCGCCGUCCACAGACAAUCUUAAAUAAUUACAUCGACACCCAGAAUUUUGCUUAGAGAACCCUAGACUCCUUGGUAUGUGUGCCUACAGUCCAGAAUUAUUGGGAAUAUUCAGAAUUAAAUCAGAAAAUGAUCAUUAGUAUAAAAAUAAUGCCAAUAACUUGUAAAAUUCAUAACUCCUUCGUUUUAACUCUGUUUUGGUCCAUUCUAGUUGCGUUAGCUUCGUAAUAAAAUUAUCUACACAUUACUAACCUUACUUACCAUGUAACAUGUUUUUUAAAUAAUUAAUUUACCCUAUGUCCAUUAGAUUUACUUCUCUAAUUAAAAUUGAAGUAAUGAUUUCAGUCCCUAGUUAUGAUUUGAAAAAAAUGUUGCCUCAUCAAGUUAUAACUUGGAUUAGAAUUAAAUUAGUAGUUUCUUAGGAAUAACUUUCUCACAUGAUUCAUUGAUCAACAUAGACAUAGUUUUCAUAUUCGAUCACAUAAAACUUAUGAAAAUCAUAACUUUAUAACCGUAACUCAGAUUUUAUUGGUCUCGAACCUAGAUUUUCAUUGCGACGCGUAGGUCAUUAUUAUGCAGUUUGUUCUUAUGUUUGGUGUGAUGUUAAUUUUGCCUAUACCAUGUUUGUUUGUAUUGCUACGAAUAGUAGUGAGGUCACGAGAAUAUGAAGAUCAUCCUGAUACCUGGAAUCUCGAGUUCCAGGCAAGUUGUGCCCUUUAUCACUUUUAUUUACCCAAUAAUGUUCUCUAUAAUCAUUUUGGCAUGCAUAGGCUUAAUUUUGAUGGACCUAAUAGGUCACCCUAGUUUGGUUAUAUUUACACCUUAUUUACCUUGGAACUUUUGGGUAGUCUUUGCUAUUGCUAUAUAUGGUUUUGGGUGUUGAGAUAACUAUUACACAUGGUCAUUAUUUAUUAUUAUUGUUCUAUUUAUGUUCAUGAUAAGACCAUUAUGUUAAUUGGAACAUCGAGAUAACUUGAGAAACACGUGCCACCACAAGGGUGGAAUGGGAUGCUCUUGGUUGACUAAUUAUGAAAGCUAGUGGAAGACUACCUUACCUGAAAGGGGCAAGGGCAGUAGGGGAGUAGGCGUGUAGGGAGGUUCCCGGGUUGAUUUUACUGCGAUGGCGGUCAGACGGGGGAUUCCUGCAUUGCUCUUCCUAGAAUUGUAGUGGGUUUUCUUAAGCUAGUGGAACUUUGUAAAGGCCUCGUAGUGUUACCCUGCCUCGCUUUCUUGGUAGAGGUCUAUGGGGCCCGUACAACCCCGUGGCAGAUGAGUAACAUGACUUGUGGUAAAGGGUACCACCUCUGCAGAGUGUAAAACUGGUAUACUAGCCGUGCUCGCGAUCAUGAGCAGCUCCGGACUCUCGUAUGAUUAAUUUAUGGAAUUAAAUUCAAUUUGUCAUUUGUAUUGCAUUGUGGAUUAUUUGAAUUUUGAUCUAUUAUUACUCUGGUUUGGUAUCUACUUUUACUUAGUAACUGCUAAUAAAAUUUUGACCAACUUUAAAAGCGAUGCUCAGCUUUAACCAUCAUCUUUGGUAAGCCUUACACUUCACAUGAGCUCUCACCUUUGGUGAGUUCAUGCACAUUAUUUCCCACAACUUGUUGAGCGAUGAACGUAUUGAGCUCACCCUUGCUGUCUCACACCCCCACACGUCAAGAAUAUGUACCGCAGGAUGAGGCGCAUGGAGGAUGCUGUGAUGAGUUCGUGAGAGGUCUAAGCCGUUGUCUCCCAGUCAACUUUGAGUUGCUGGAUCGUUGUCUUCAUAUGAUGUAUUUAUUUAUUUAUUUUGUACAGAGCUCCUAUUAUAUAGUAAAGAUGUGACAUUCGUUUCUGUACUAUGAGUCAUCAUAUGUGUAAGACUUGGUACUAGCACACUUGGUGAUUAUGUUCGCGCCCGGGUCUUGGUGCCCCCGAAAUCCGGGUGUGACACUUCUCGCGGUGACCGACCGCCAUCCAAGUUUGAGUCCGUGUCCGUUGACCUCCCGACUCUGGUGGUUCGCAUUGUGGUAGUAGAUCGAGGCUCCGACGAGGCGCCUCCACCAGAUCCGGAAGAAUCCAUGGGUUCACGGCCUUGGCCGGAGGCCCUAGGAGAACGUCGACCUCGUCGGCAUGCACGAGGUCAAUCGGCUAUGGUGGCUUGAUGCCUGAUCAACGACAAUCGACACAGCGCGUGUCGUCGGCAUAAAUCCCCUUCAACGACCGGGCACCUCGGCGGCAAACUUCAUCGACCACGUCGGUAUGUCCCAAAUCCUCGAUUGAUAUGCAAGGACCUGCGUUUUUGUUGUCUAGAUUGAUGAAGGGAUGCAUGCUUGGUUAAAUAUUGGUUGGUCCUUACUAUUACCCUAAUUUCUGGUAAUGAUAAAUUGGCCAGAUCUCGUGUGUUGAUGAUUCAAGAGUGUUUUGGGCCUACUGCUGUUAAGGUAAAAGGCAAAGUUUUCAUCAACUAGGGUCUAGGGCAACUGGAUACCUAAGAUUCCACUAGAUGGCACUCACGGUAGGCCAAGAUUCAUUGUUUUGGACCUGCUAUAUGUGUUCAUCGAUCUUGUUCUUCUCAGUUUGCAGAGAUUGAAUGGUUCAUUUGGUUUUAGAUGAUUUUGUUUGCAGAGUGAACUGUCUUAUCGAAUACUGAUUACUAAAAACAGCCCUGAUUGGUUACCAUCGUUGCUUGUCUCCAUUUCAUUAAUUUUGUUCUGUCAUGAUUGAUUAUAUAUAAUGUAGCUAUAGUUUUUGGGACAAGUGUGUACAAGGCCGAAACCUCAAUUCACCCACAUGUCUAUCUCAUCUAUGCAUUAUCUGUUCAUCUACGGUUCUACCAACUCUGGUAUUUUUAUUUAUAACAUUAUGUUGGCAAUAAUUCAAACUUAGGCUCUUCCUUUACCAAUGUGAACAUAUCACGAGGGUUCCCAAUUACAAUCUCAUACGCAUAAUAUCCUUAUAUGUGAACAUAUGACUAAUGUUGUUCUUUUCCCCUUCCUGUACGUACAAAACUUGCAGGUUAAAUCGCUCAUAUAGUCAUAUGUGAACAUUUUUUGAUGCUAAAAUGAGUGAUGAGAUAAACAAGGCCAUCAAAGCACACAUGUUUGAUAUACUACCGAGUACUGACUUUAAAUACAUAUGUAUCAAUAGCUUUUAUUAAUUGAUUUUUUGUGUGGUCACAGGACUUUGUCAGAUAUGAGGACAUCAUCUUACGUGGGUGAAAUUACACUUGCUAAACAGUGACCACUUUCGUGGUCAGUGGUAAGUCAAUUGUUAGACGCAACAACAUUACGUUUUCCCAAAUUUUUGUGGUGUCACUUUAUAGAAUAUAGGUGGCAUCUUGACAAGAUAAGUGAGGCGAGGAUAGUGACUCAAUCAGUAUGAUAUUAACUGGUUAUGUGAGAGGUGUUAUAUAGGCUUGCUUGUAGGGCUGAUGUGCAUUUUUUUAAUUCUGGUACUCCCUCCGUUUCUUUUUAUUUGUCGCUGAAUAGUGUAAAAUUGCACUAUUCAGCAACAAAUAAAAAGAAACGGAGGGAGUACUUGUUACUGUUACUCUCAUACGGAAACUGCAAGCAGCUAAACCCAUGCUAAGUAUUUUAUCAGGUAACAUGAAAAUGAUGAUGACCGGAAGCUCUUGUUGGAAGCAGCUAAACCCAUACCUAUUACAACCUCCUAAUUCUACUGCUUGAGGUUUUAGAAAAUCUAGACAUUUUUAAUAAAAAAAUUUGGCCCUUAGUUUGGAGCCAGUGGCCAUCUUUUGCCUGUGCUAUUUCUCCUUUUUUUCCUCCACUUUUUGAAUAUUAAAAUAUAAAUAACUAUGCCAAAACAGUCCAAAAUGACAAGUUCUCACUAGGAGCUACACUUCUCUUGAUAACUUACUAGGUUUCACUAUUUUGUCAAACACGCAGGAGAGUUGUAUAUCAUUGCAUUAAGGAGAAGAAAAUAUAAGGAUACAAGUAUACAAGCCACACACACUGUGUAACUAUAGAAGGAUUUAUCUGGAACUGAGACAUACAUCCGUAUAUAUAUGUCUCAACUGGUGUCAAUAAAAGUUCAUCUUUGAGUCAUUGUUGUUGUGCAGAAAUAAAAGAGACAGCAACUUAUGUCCAUUGUUAUUAAAACGUCGUUUAAACGUUUAAACGAGAAAACGUGUUUAAAAGUUGGAACGUUUGAACGUUUUAGGUUUAGGACGUAGAACGUUCGUUUCGAGCAUUUAAACGUCGUUUAAGCGUCCAAAUAGCGUUUUAGUGCGUUUUACAUGUUCCGAGGACGUUCUACCCGUCCUGGGCCUUCAGCAUUUUCUAGGUCACUUUCCUGGGCACUGACCAGCGCUGGACGCGGCGCCCUCACUCCCUCAGCCAGCCGCCGCUAUGCUCUCCUCUCUCCUCUCCUCAGCUACAGUCGGUCGCCGCCCUCCUCUUCUGCGCCGGCCAUCGCUUUGCUCUCCUCUCCUCUCCUUAGCCACAACCAGCUGCCGCUCUCCUCUCUCCCGUCCUCAGCUAGCCGCUACUCUCUGCCGGCCCACCGGUCGCUGACUGCGCCCACAACAGCCCAUGGUAUUCAUAUUGAUGCGUUCGAUGAUGGUUACUGAUCAUGCAUAAAAGUUAUAACUUAUGUGGUUGAACUUGUGUUGUUGAACUUGAUCUGUUUCUUUUUAUGCUAUUUGGCUUGUGAACUCAACUUAUGUAUGAACUUAUUCUAUAUUUGAAUUUCUAUGUCAAGUCUGAAAAGACGUUUCAACAUUCGUUUAAACGUUUAAAUGUUAAAAAGUUGGUUCAUAACAUUUUAACGUUUUACCGCUUUAAUAACCAUGCUUAUGUCUGUUAAUUGACAACUUAGGUAUGGAAUAUGCAUCUACACAUAAAACCAAUGCAGUCAUUAGCAUGGAAUAAUAUUGGUCUGCAUGAAGGGAAGAAAGUUGAAGCCUCUGCACAUAGAGACUUCUAAAUUGCUUAGAGCCAAUGAUCAGUGGCAACUAGACUGAAGUGCCCAUCAAAGCCAAAUAUUGAGUUUGGUUGUUAUCAGAAGUUCAGAACAGAUUAUGUAAACAAUAUUUUUGGGGAUGAAACCGAAACCCAACUUAUUUGUAUCACUAUGAUGCGGUAAGUUUCCUUAAAUGUAGUGUACCUUGGUUAGUGGCACAAAUUACAUUAUGAUUACCUGGUUAAUGGCACUGCAUCCUUCUACUCUACAUUAGCUGGAUGGUGAGCCUGUGUGACCAUAAAAAAACUGCAAAGAGAAUGUUAAAUAUUUAGAAUCAUAGAGCUAGAUGCACAGAAUCGCAACCGUCUGAUCUCGAUUUGGGGGGGCCUUUUUCUUUUGGGUUUCGAUUUCGUAUGUUUUCGUCUGUUUUGUAGCCCAACCGACUGUGCUUUUUGGGAUUCGAUGAAUAAGGUUUGGCCUUUUAAUUCUUUGAUUAUGAUGUGCACUUUGGUAAUUCUUCUUGCUUUUGCCAGCUAGGUUUCGAGGAAUGAUUGAACUCUUAUUCUUGGCUUCUAAUAGAUUUCUUUGAUGCUAUGUUUUUCUUUCUCUGUUAUAUAGUUUAUUUUCUCUGAUUCAGCUUGAUCUAUGAUUAUGUGUAGACAACUUUGGUACGAACAAGGCAGCUUCCAGUGGCACAUCACUCAGCACCAAGCGCCUCGAUGAUGACACUAAGGAAGAACGACGUGUUUCAAUAGAACAUCAGUGGUGCCCGAGGACGAGGAGGAUCUUGGGGCCCUUCACUUCAAACUGAACGAUUUGUUCAAAUUUAGCCUAGCACUACUUGAAUGUAACAAGUGAACAAAUGAUGGGCUCAUAUGCAACCAUUGAAUCAAUGUUUAUGGUACAAUGUUUGUUAAACUGAGAAACCUUCUUAUGGUUAAAGUUGUGGCAAGGCACUGAAAGCGCGAAAAAUGUUCUACUUUUAUUUAUAUGAGAUACAAAUAGCUUAUAUCAUAGCUUACAAGGAAAGAUCCACCAUAAUAAGUUUAGUUUCUAUUUAUAAACCGUAUUGAUUUGGUCUUUAUAUGUAGUAGUCAUACAACCAUUCUAAAUAUACAAUUUGAGACCAGAUCAAGCAUGUAUACAUAUAUUUUAUACUUCAAUACCCCCUCAAUUAUAACUUGGAUAAGUUAAUAUUGUACCCAAAAAAUUUAAUCUUUUUCCUACUACACUUUUGAUGAAACCAUCUGUCACCUGAUCCUUCGUUGACAUGGUUGGAACACCGAGUAGUUCAUGUGAGACUCUCUCUCUCUCUCUCACACAAAAUGAUAGUCAAUUUCAAUGUGUUUGAAACAUGCAUGACACUAGAUUAGUCAUUAAGUAAGUAGCACAAAUAUUAUCACACCAUAAUUUAGCACAAGGGGAUGCAUGAAUACUAAGACUUUAAUAAAGAUUGGAUCCACAUUACUUCAACAGUUGCAUUUGUGAAAUCUUUUAUAUUCAGCCUCUACACUUAAUCUUGAUAUCGUAGCUUGCUUUCUAGCACUCUAAGACACAAGAUUGUUGCCUAGCAAAAUAGCAAAACCCAUGUAGACCUAUCAUCAAGAUUGACAACCUAAUCAACAUUAAAACAUGCUAAUAAUCACCAAAGAUGGUUUCCUUAUUAUAAGUUCGACGUUUAGAUAUCAAAUAAUUCUUUUUACCAUUGACCAUUGAACACCAGUACGUGCAUGUAGAAUCUGACACACCUUAUUAACUAAGAAUGCAUUAUCUAUUUUUUAUCAAGGUUAAUUAUUAUAGUGACCCAUUAUGCUUCUAGAGUUUGUGACAUCUUUGACACCCAAUAAGUUCCCUUCCUCUAUGGAUACUUUUUCAGAAGUAGAAAUGGAGUGGAGACUGGUUUGCAAUAUAUCAUCCCGCUCAUUUCAUUAUAUUAGACACAUGUUUAUCUUAUGAGAGAUAUAUUAUGUAAUGUGCCUUAUAUACUUCCUUGAUGUGUACCCAUACUUAAGAUACCCUAAGAACAACACAAAGGGUCCACAAAUUCACAUGGCCUAGAAUGAUCUCCAAUCACGGUAACCCUAGUUCGACGACUCCAACAAGGAGAACCUUGAUCUAAGUUCCCCCGAUCAUGAUGCCCGACCUAGUUACCUCAGUUAGGAUGAAUCCAAUCGUAACCAAGCUAGCUAAGAAUUCCCUGACUAUGAUAGACUUGACCUUAAUCACCCAAACAAAAAUUCCAACCAAGUCAUCCUAGUUAGGCGACCAUGACCUCAGUCACCCUAAUACAAAGAUGAUUUAAAACCAAGCACCUCUGGUACGACCCCACGACCUCGAGUUGGCACAACCCGCUAAGGGGAAGUGCAUUUAUGAUUAUCUGACCAUUUGACGCAUGCACCUAACUGAGAUGUGCAAAAGGCAAGAAUAGGUAUUGUUGGUCACUUGUUCUCAAAUGCUAUAAGUUAAGAACAAGGCAACACAAAUGUUAAUGGUUAAAGACCUUCGUCCUUCGAAGCAUUAUCUCCCUUAGGAUAUAAUGAUCUUCAGACGAAGGUUAUGAAGGACAAACCUUCAUCAUCUCAAUAUGUAAUAAUAAAAAACAAGAACAUAUGAGACAUACAAAGAACAUGAAUGAUAAUAUCAAAUCACUAGAUUAUCUAUAUUCUUAUUAUAUGAUCAUGAACAAACGUUAAUGAUAUUGAAUUACAUUUGUACCUUUGACAUGACAGAAGGUAAGAAUCCAAGAGUGACGUGCGAGUGAUUACAAGUCAGCGUGAACUGUACAAGGGUACUGUUCAUCUAUUUAUAGGCACGAGACACAACCCGGACAAAAUUACAUUCAUGUCCUUGAUAACUAAUCAUGACUAUGACUCAAACUAUUAGGGACUAUGUAGUCUUUUCCUCUUUAAGUCGGUGCCACCCUUUGUCUCAAGCGUGUCAUCAUGCUGAAGCUCUUUUAGUAACAACUUCGACAUACAUCUUCAUGUUGCGCCUGCUUGCAUAUUAUCUUUCCGAAGGUGUUUUUGCUUAGAGGACCUUCGGCGGAGAAGAAGGCCCCCAACAUUAGCCCCUUUGUGGUGCUAGAUCGUUUUUUCGUAACGAGCUCGAUUCGCGAAAAACUCGAAGGCUUCGGAAUGCCGAAGGUCCGAAAAACACCUUCCCUGAUCUCGUUGCCGAAAAACGAUUAUAAUAUUCCAAGCACCGAGUGGUCCACCGUUCAGCCAGUGCAGGCGAUGUGUCGGUUCGCCUUCCCACCUGCAGCACUAUAUAAACAGACGGGUUGGUGAAGAGUUACCAAAGCAUUCAUUGCCAUUGCACUGUUGUGCUGUUAAAAAAUUUAACCAUAGCCGAAGCUUUGUGUGUUGCGCCUUGAAGCGAACACUUUCAUCGUUUAAGGUUAACUUUGUCAAACAGGUUUUUGAAUAAGAAGUCAUGGAACAAUCAGGUCUAGUUAUGACAGAGGGAACUACUAACGAAGGUACUCCUGAUGCCGAAGCUGAACAGACUGUUGUUGAAUAAGAAAAUGUUGAUGAAGAUGAAUAAGAUUACAGUAUUUUGAUCCCCACAAAGCCCAAUCAUUUAGAUUUUGAGAAAUCUAUUGUGUCCGAAGACGACAUGCCCAUGAUGAUGAAACUGGGCUAUUUUGGAUAAGCUGAAAGAAAACUUGUUCGAUUCGCUGGAGAAGAAACUACCCCAGUGCCGAAGAAGGAUGAAAUUGUGGUUUUCAAGAGCUUCUUCAGAGCGGGGUUGCGAUUUCCCCUGAAUGAGAUGAUAGGGGAAGUCCUAAAAAAUUUCAAAAUAUACCUUCAUCAGCUGACUCCUAAUGCUAUCGUUAGGCUCAGCGUCUUCAUCUGGGCCCUCCGAAGCCAAGGGAUGAGCCUAGAUGCCGAAGCAUUCCGCCGAGUGCACGAGCUGCACUAUCAGACAAAGGUCAGGGCAGAUGGUCUUCACAAAAAUUUUGGUUGUUACAAUUUUGCAUAUCGCAAGGAUACGAAGGCACCAGUCCUCAGCUACCGUACAAAGUGGCCAACCGGCUGGAAAAAUGAAUGGUUUUAUAUUAAAGCUGAUGAGAAAAAGAGGGAGAAGCUGAUGACCAUGGUCAUGAGCCCGCUGUCUUUAAACUUCGGAAUGACCAGGCCCCUAUGCAACAUGCAACUGAGGUCACCAUGCCAGCUGGCCGAAGUAGAGUUUAGAGUGGUGGCCAAGCAAACUAGUACCAGGGACCUGGUGCAGGAAUAUCUGGCCAACCAGACGUAUCCAACGUCAAGUGGCCGGGGAAUGCCGAAGAUGAAAGAAACGAAGCAGAAGCAUGAACUUGUUCGACUAGCUUAUCGUUUCAAGUUUAAAAAACAAUUCAAAAAGUCGUACAAAAAGUGGCUGGACAUGAUCGAGACAAUGUGCAAUGAAAUACUUGGAAAUUAUACCAAAAAGGAAGACCAACUCAUGGCCGCAGCCUUCGGCACCCGACCCAAACGAAGGUUGAACUAGGUGAUGGAUGCCUUGAAAUUAGAAUAUCUUGAUUAUGAAAGGCUUGAUAAAGGUGACGAAGGUGUGAAAAGAAAGAGAAUUGUCAGUAUUCUGAGCAGACAAGCUGCUAAAAUGGUAAACGAGGAUGAAAAAGCUUCAAAGAAAAGAAAAUCCACUCCUGAGCCGAAGGCUGCUACUUCGAAGAAGAGGAAGACUGAAAGUCCAGAGCCGAAGAUAACAGAGGCAGCAGAGGAGACUCCUUCUACGCCUCCUGCUGCCGAAAUAGCAGAAAUUUUAAAGGUAAUGACUGAAUCUUUAACCAUCAAGCUGCUAAGUCCUCUAGGGCCAGAACUGACGAACCUUUUACAGAAGAAGGAUGAGCCUUCGGCUACAAAGAAGAAGGCAGAUGGGCAGAAAAACGAAGAAUCGUUACUGUUAUGCAAGCCAUUGAAUGGACGCCACCGUCGGCCUCGGCAUCCAAAAUAACACCCAUUGCAAGCGCCGAGGCCAUUGCCGAAGCUAAUACCUCUGCCGAAGCUGCAGCUGCUGCCGAAGCUGCCAACCUUGAGAGUACACUGUCUAGGAAUGAUAAAAUGCUCUCGGAUAUGACUGUAGAAGAAACAACUGCGGCUGCAGAGAAGGUCAUGGCCACAGUGCCUGACAAAGGGAAAAAGAUUGCCAAUGCUGCUUCGAAAGAAAAGGACUUUGACCUUCGGAACCUGGUCGGUCAAGAAUUAUCCGAGGCCGAAAAGAAGGAGGUACAGGAGUAUGGGAUAUCCUGUGGCUACUAGCCAGGAGCUAUGCUCUUUGGUGGAAUCGAUGAAGGAGCCUUAGGAUGCAUUCGCGACCACGCCGGGGCAAAGAUAAUCGGCACUCUAUCGAAGAGUGUCAGCUUACCGAAGCUUGAAGCUGAUAUCAGCGGCUACCGGUGACAACAUAUCGUCGGCAGUUUGUUUUAUUCCAACUUCAAGGUAAAAUUCUGUUGUCUGAAUUUCUUUUAUUUUUGUGAUGAAGCAAGGUUUUCUGAUGUCGGCUUAUUUCUACAGAGUAUGCUGCUAAGUAAGGCACUGAGAAUGCAACAAGACCUCAAAGACAAGAAGAAUGAAAUCAUAAUCGAGGGCUUGGAAAACAAAAUUAAAGACUACGAAGCUUCUCUUGAGAAGAAAGACUUCCUACUUCAGGCAACAGAGGGUUCCCUUGUGGAACUUCAAACUGAAAAUGCUAGAUUAAACGAGGAGCUUCUCUAGGCUCAAGAAACUUUAAAGAAAAAUUCAGAACGCUUCGAGCAAGAGAAACAAGAACUGCAAACAAAAUGCAAAGCCGAAGCUGAUAAAAAUAUGAAGCUGCAGGAGUUUUUGAAAGAGCUUCAGAAUAAGUGCCUGGAAUUUGGUAGCCGUUGCGUGCAACGGUUGAAAAAGGUCUUCAGCUCGGUUGGGGCCAGUUCCAAAGAAAUUACACCUUCAACUGAAGACAUAACAAACACCUUCGAACAUAUUGAAAAUGAAGUCGAGGCGCUUGAUGAAAUGAUAGCCGGGCACGAUGACUUCUGUGCCUUGCUAGCUUAUCGCGGCAUAGCUGCAACAUUUAUGAAGGCUGGUUGCAUGCACGCAAAAACGGUAAAUAGACCAACCUUCAGUCUGUCUCCAACAGAUUUGGUUGAUAUCCCCAGUGAAGCCCGGAGCAUCGGGAACAUGUUUAUAACUCACAUUUGGGCUAAGGGUGGGCGAGAGUUGGCUGGUGACGAAGCCCGAAACUUGCUUAAGCCGGUAUAGAACUUAUACCUAUUGCUUGCUUUAUGUCUUGUAAUUUUUCUUUUUUACCUUAUACCGUUUGUUUAUCUGCAAGAUGGUGGUGCCGAAGAUUUAUAAUCCGAAGCACGUUCCGAAGGCUGUUGAAGCUUCUCUUUAGGCCUGCCUGUGUAGAGCUUAGUAACAUUUGUAUUAACUUUGUAGAAAAAACUGUAAUCGAGGAUUGAACAAUGCUAUGUAUAACUGUCCAUACCUUGUAAUAUAUUUUUACCUUUUCAUCCAUGUACAAGUUGCUUUGCUGUGGACGAAACUUGUAUUUUUUGAGCCGAAGGCGAAAAACACCUUCCCUUCUUUUCGUACACAACGAAGCAUGCUGUUGCGUCACAUGUAUACGUUUGAAACGAAGCUUCUUUGUGUUCAUCGAAGCACUGUCGUCGAAGAUGGAGUAUUUCUGUUCGUGCUUCAUGUUAUGAUGAUGAUGAUCCUACAAAUGUCUAAAUGAAUGUGUAUGAAUGCAAUGAAUGAUGUAAUGUAAUGUGCAAAUGAAUGUCCCGAACACACACGAAGCCACACCCAGACUCUACAUCCCAUUAGGAACGACUUUGGAGUCUUUAAGCUCUGCAUCCCUUUAGGAACGACUUUGGAGCUUCUUACCUUAUAUUUCGGUGGCAUUUAAGCUCCGCAUCCCCUUAGGAACGACUUUGGAGCUUCUUCACCUUCUAUUUCGAUGGUAUUUAGCUCUGCAUUCCCUUAGGAACGACUUCUGAGCUUUGGAACUUACGCUGCGCUCCCUUAGGAACGACUUUUUGUAGCUUCGUCAUGCUCUGCAUCCCCUUAGGGACGUCUUUCGAGCUUCUCCCUGUUUUCUUUUUGCACUCAAUGGUGCAAGCUCUAAUUUUACAUAUUACAUCUUUGGGGGAUUUUGGCCCUUGUAUUGCGUAGGGCUAAAUAAGAAUGUAAAAAUUACAAGCUAUGGCCCCAUUAAAAACCUUUCUCCCCUCCUGAAAGGAAAAGGGUGCCAUAGAAAAAGAAUGAAAAAAGAUUACAUCAAAUUACACAUAGUACCGUCGAAGCUCAUCCGUAUUGCAAGAUCUAGGUAUGUCGUUGCCGUCGAUAUCCUCUAAUCUGUAAGAACCGGGUCUUGACGAAGAUACUUCCAGAAAAGAACCUUCCCACUUCAGUUGUAACUUGCCCACUAUAUCUGGGUUGGCCACUCUCCGAAGCACCAAAUGCCUUGGCUUGAUGUUUUUCAAUCGAACUUUCCUGUCACGCCAUCUUAUUGUUUCGGCCCGAUAUUUAUUGAUGUGUUCUAUGGCCUAAAGUCUGGUCCCUUCUAUAGUAUCUUUUGCUGUUGGAUAAUCAGCUUCGUCUUCCACCGAAGCUGUUGUUCUUAUUGAUCCUGUCUUUGCUUCUUCUGAUGUUAUUGCUUCGUCACCAAACAGAAGCUUGAAGGGUGUAAAACCUGUUGACCUUGACACAGUUGUGUUGUGGCUCCACACCACUUUAAUCAGCUCAUCUGGCCACUUUCCUUUGGGCUGGUUGAAGAUUAACUUCAUUAUUCCUGUCAUUAUAAUGCCAUUUGCUUUUUCUACUAGCCCAUUUGAUUCUGGAUGCCUUACUGAUGCAAAAUUAAUUUUUGUACCAAUUCGAUCACAGAAAUCUUUGAAUGUUUCGGCAUCAAAUUGUGUUCCAUUGUCCACAGUUAUUGCCUUCGGCACGCCGAAGCGGCAAACAAUGUUUUGCCAAAAGAAUUUCUGUACUGUGGCCGAAAUUAUUGUGGCUAAAGGUUUUGCUUCGAUCCACUUAGAGAAAUAUUCCACUGCUACAACAACAUAUUUCAAAUUUCCUUGUGCAGGUGGAAGUGGACCUAACAAAUCCAGACCCCACCUUUGCAGUGGCCAAGUUGGCUGUAUUAACUGAGUUAGAGAUGAAGGUUGUUUCUGGUCUUUUGCACAUAUUUGACAAUUUUCACACUUUUGAACCAGAUCUGCUGCAUCCGAAGCUGCCUUCGCCCAAUAAAAUCCUUGUCUGAAACCUUCCCCAGCAAAGGCCUAGACCCAAUAUGAGAUCCACAUAAACCUGCAUGUAUUUCCUUCAUCAGCUCUUGACCUUCGGUUCUGGAUAAACACUUGAGUAAUGGAGAGCAGACUCCAUGUUUAUAUAACUCCCCUUCUAUUAUCACAUAUGGUCUUGUCCUUGCUUCCAUUCUUUUAUUAUAAACUUCGUCAUCCGAAAGACAGUUACCUUGGAGGAAAGAUAUAAUUUCAGUCCUCCAAUCUUCACUAUGUACAGAUGAUAUCGCAAGCACUACCCUCUCCAUAAGUUCGACUGAAGGUGCUUUUAUUGUCUCAAAAAACACUUCUGAAGGCAAAGUGAGCCCCUGUGCCGCUGAUUUGGCUAGCAACUAUGCAUGCUCAUUUUCCCCACUUGGAAUAUUUUUUACAGAAAAUCCUUCGAAAGAGCCGCCAAUCUUCAGACUGUAUCCAAAAGUUUUUCAAGCUUCGGAUCCCUUGCCUUGCUGCUUUUGUCUACAUGACCGGAAAUAACUUGAAAAUCAGUUUUAAGGACUGCCCUUCUUAUUCCCAUUGCCUUUAGCUUCCGAAGCACUAACAGAAGGGCUUCAUAUUCAGCAAUAUUAUUUGUACAACUAAAGUCCAGCCUUGCUGCGUAGCAUGUCCUAACGUUAGAGGGUGCUACUAAAACAACAGUCGCUCCUGCACCGAAGGUUCCCCAAGAACCGUCACAUAAUACUGUCCAGGCUUCGACGUCUUUUGUUGCUUCUUCUCCGUGAGCCCCUGGCGUCCAAUCAGCAAUGCAAUCUGCUAAUGCCUGAGACUGAAUUGAGGAUCUAUGUACAUAAUCAAUAGUGAAUUCAUUGAGCUCCGCAGCCCAUUUUCCAAUUCUUCUUGUAGCUUCUCUGUUUCUCAUUAUGUCUUUCAGAGGUUGUGAUGAAGGGACUAUUAUAUGAUAGGCUUGAAAGUAAUGCCGAAGCUUUCCAGAGGCCAUUAGCACAACAUAUAGCACCUUCUCCAAUUCUGUGUAAUUUUUCUUUGAUAAACUGAGUAGUUCGGAGACGAAGUAUAUUGGUGCUUGUCUUUUUACUUGACCAUCUUGCUUCUCCUGUACAAGUGCCGCAUUGACUGCAAAAUGAGAGGCUGCCACAUACAGGAGUAACAGAGUUCCUGAUGAAGGUGGAGUUAGAGUUGUCAAGUCUAUCAAGUAUUGCUUUAACUCUUCGAAAGCCUUUUGUUGAGCCGGACCCAUUGAAUAACUUCGGCUGACUUCAGUAUUUCAAAGAAUGGCAGAUUCCUUUCUGCCGAUCUUGAUAUAAAUCUAUUUAACGAUGACAGACUUCCUGCCAAUCGUUGAGCCCCCUUCUUUGAAUUUGGCGGCUCCAUCCGAAGGAUAACUUCGAUCUUACUUUGGUUAGCUUCGAUUCCCUUCGUUGAUACCAGACAGCCAAGGAACUUGCCCUUCUUUACUCCAAAAACACACUUUUCUGGAUUUAACUUAAGACCAGCUUGCCUGAAAUUGGCAAACGUCUCUUCCAAGUCGGCAACAUGAUUCUCUUGUUUUGUGCUUUUUACUAUGAUGUCAUCAACAUAAGUCAUCACAUUCCUGCCUAUUUGAGAGUGAAGAACCUUGGCUGUCAUUCUGCUGAAGCUUCCUCCAGCAUUCUUGAGCCCCUCGGGCAUCCGAAGGUAACAAUAAGUACCACUGGGAGUUAUGAAGCUUGUCUUUGGCUCAUCUUCUUUUUUCAUCCAAAUUUGGUGAUAGCCCGAGUAGCAUUCCAAUAGGCUCAUGAGUUCUAAAGAAGCUGCUGCAUCUUCAAGGGAGUCUAUUCUUGGUAAAGGGAACUCAUCCUUCGGACAUGCCUUGCUGAGAUCUGUGAAAUCAAUACACAUUCUCCAUUUCCCAUUAGCCUUCUUCACCAUAACAGUGUUGGCUAGCCACUCUAGAUAUGUUACUUCUCUGAUAACACCAACACUGAGAAGUCUCUUUACUUCAUUCCGAGCACCUUCGGCUUUAUCCUCAGACAUUUUCCGAAGUCUUUGCUUCCUAGGCUUGAAAGAUGGAUCCACGUUGAGUGAAUGCUCAUUGACACCACAGAGAUCGUUAGGUAUCCAAGCGAAGACAUCUUUGUUGUUGAACAAAAAUCUUAGCAGAGUCUUUUCUUGUUCAUCAGAUAACUGAGAUCCCAUCAAUACCCUUUGAUCUGCUAUAUCUUCACACAGGAGCAUAGGUUUCGGCUGAUCUGCCGAAGCAACCUUCUCUCUUUUGUGCUUAUAUUGUUGACAAGCUUCGGCUCCAUCUAUGUUAUGGAUCGCCUUUGAAUCCUACCAACUCCCUUCAGCUCUCCUGGCUGCUUCUUGACUCCCGUGAACAGCAAUGGGCCCUUGUUCCGAAGGUAUCUUCAUGCAUAAGUACGCUGAGUGGAGUAUGGCUUCGAAGGCAUUAAGCGUCCCUCAACCAAUGAUUGCAUUGUACGGGUAUUCCAUGUCAACAAUGUCAAAGACAACUUGUUUAGACCUUGUGUUGUGGACGUAACCGAAGGUAACUGACAUUGUCAUUUUGCCAAGUGCCACAAUCUGCCUCCCUCCGAAGCCACAAAGAGGGUGUAUUGCAUCAUGAAUCUUGUCUUCUGGUUCUUGCAUCUGUCUGAAAGCCUUUGCAAAUAUGAUGUCCGCUGCAGUGCCUGUGUCAACCAGAACAGUGUGGACCAGAAAUCCCGUGAUGACACCAGAUAUAACCAUGGCAUCAUUGUGAGGAUAAUCUUUAAGCUGAAGAUCCUCCUGGGAGAAGGUGAUUGGGAUGUGAGACCACUUGGAUCUGAUGAAGGGUCCUUGCACCCCAACAUGCUGCACUCUUCUUUGUGCUUCCUUCUUCUACUUCUUGUUAGCUGGCUCUGAGCUUGAACCGCAUGUGAUUGGGAGCACCAGCUUCGUGACCGAAGGUGCUACAACUUGGUCGUUGUACAAAGCCAUUGUUACAAUAGUGGAAGUGAGUUCACCGGAGGUGGGCGCCAAUGUUGGUCACUUGUUUUCAAAUGCUAUAAGUUAAGAACAAGGCAACACAAAUGUUAAUGGUUAAAGACCUUCGUAUUUCGAAGCAUUAUCUCCCUUAGGAUAUAAUGAUCUUCAGACGAAGGUUAUGAAGGACAAACCUUCAUCAUCUCAAUAUGUAAUAAUAAAAAACAAGAACAUAUGGGACAUACAAAGAACAUGAAUGAUAAUAUCCAAUCACUAGAUUAUCUAUAUUCUUAUUAUAUGAUCAUGAACAAAUGUUAAUGAUAUUGAAUUACAUUUGUACCUUCGACUUGACAGAAGGUAAGAAUCCAAGAGUGACGUGCGAGUGAUUACUAGUCAGCGUGAACAGUACAGGGGUACUGUUCAUCUAUUUAUAGGCACAAGACACAGCCCGAACAAAAUUACAUUCAUGUCCUUGAUAACUAAUCAUUACUAUGACUCAAACUAUCAGGGACUAUGUAGUCUUUUUCUCUUUAAGUCGGUGCCACCCUUAGUCUCAAGCGUGUCAUCAUGCCAAAGCUCUUUUAGUAACAGCUUCGGCAUUCAUCUUCAUGUCCCGUUUGCUUGCAUAUUAUCUUUCCGAAGGUGUUUUUGCUUAGACGACCUUCGGCGGAGAAGAAGGCCCCCAACAGUAGCCCCUUCGCGGUGCUAGAUCGUUUUUCGUAACAAGCUCGAUCCGCAAAAAACUCGAAGGCUUCGGAAUUCCGAAGGUCCAAAAAACACCUUCCCUAAGCUCGUUGCCGAGAAACGAUUAUAAUAUUCCAAGCGCCGUGUGGUCAACCGUUCAGCCAGUGCAGGCGAUGUGUCGGUUCGCCUUCCCAACUGCAGCACUAUAUAAACAGAUGGGUUGGUGAAGAGUUACCACAACAUUCAUUGCUAUUGCACUGUUGUGCUGUUAAAAAAUUUAACCAUAGUCGAAGCUUUGUGUGUUGCGCCUUGAAGCGAACGAUUUCAUCGUUUAAGGUUAACUUCGUCAUACGGGUUAGCUUCGUCAAAUUGCAAAAAAUCCAUCAAAAUGGCCAGUUGGGGCCAUGCUUCGUCGCCGAAGGUUCUGCAGGAAGAAACACCUUCGGCAAAUCCGUCUAAACGUAGUGCCGAAGCUACCACUCAUGAAGUUUCGGUACUAUAACGUAUCUGAAGACGAAGGUUCGAACCGACUUAAAGAUGAAAUGACUUUUUAGUCCAUAAGGGUCUGAGUCAUAAUUGUAAUCUUUUGUAAGGGGCAUGAUUGUAAUUUCUCAUAGGCUGCGUCCUGUGCCUAUAAAUAGAUGAACAAUAUUCCUUUACUGUUCACGCAAUCCUGUAAUCAUCAACGCAUCACACUGGAAUUAUUGUUCUUUGCCAAGGCAAAGGUAUAAAUGUGUCUAAAUAUUAUGUUUUAAUAUUUAAGUUUCUAUAAUAACAUAUAUGCAUAAUAAGAUAUAUGUUUUCGAUAUAAAUUUCUUUAAUGUUUCGUGUUCUAGCAUUGUUUAUAUUAUCUUAUAGAGCUGAUCACGAAGGUAAGACCUUCGUGAUAUUUUGCUUAUGGCCUUCGUCUCCGAAGUUCAUUAUAUCCUAAGGGAAAUAAUGCUUCAGCGGACGAAGGACAUUAACAUUUAACAUUUUAUGUUGCCUUGUUCUUAAUUCAUAGCAUUUGAGAACAAGUCCCCAACAUUGGCGCCCACCUCCGGUGAACUCACUUCCACUUUCUGAGCUGAUGGCUUCGUUCAACAACCAAGCUGAAGCUGCUUCGGCUACGAAGCUGGUGCUCCCGAUAAUAGGCGGUUCAUGUUCAGAGUCGGACAACAAGAAGCAGAAGAAGGAAGCUCAGAGAAGGGUACAACAUGUCGGGGUGCAGGGACCCUUCAUCAAGUCAAAAUGGUCUCAUAUCCCAAUUACCUUCUCCCAAGAGGACCUUCAGCUCAAGGAUUACCCUCACAAUGAUGCUAUGGUCAUAUCUUGUGUCAUCAAAGGAUUUCUAGUCCACAAUGUUUUGGUUGAUACAGGCAGUGCAACCGACAUUAUAUUUGCUAAAGCCUUCAGACAGAUGCAAGAACCAGAAGACAAGAUUCAUGAUGCUACACACCCUCUUUGUGGCUUCGGAGGAAGAAAAAUUGUAGCGCUUGGCAAGAUUACCAUGCCAGUGACCUUCGGAUUUGUCAACAAUACAAGGACUGAGCAAGUUGUGUUUGACAUUGUCGACAUGGAGUACCCUUACAAUGCAAUCAUUGGUCGUGGAACACUCAAUGCUUUCGAAGCAAUUCUUCAUCCAGCAUAUCUUUGCAUGAAGAUACCUUCGGAUCAAGGACCUAUUGCUAUUUAUGGGAGUCAGGAAGCUGCCAGAAAGGUUGAGGGGAACUGGACAGAUUCAAAGGCAAUCCAUAAUAUAGAUGAAGCCGAAGCUUGUGAGCAGUACAAGUACAGAAGGGAGAAGGCUGCUUUGACCAAUCAGCCAAAACCCAUGCUUUUAUGCGAACAUAUCGCAGAGCAGAAGGUGCUGCUGGGAUCUGAAUUGUCUGAGGAACAGGAGAAAAUCUUGAUAAGGUUUAUGUUCAACAACAAAGAUGUUUUUGCAUGGACAACUAAUGAUCUCUGUGGUGUUAACAUGGAUGUCAUUGAACACUCGCUCAAUGUUGACCCAUCCUUCAGACCUAGAAAGCAGAGGCUUCGGAAAAUGUCUGACGACAAAGCUGAAGGUGCUCGGAAUGAAGUGAAAUACCCAGAGUGGCUAGCCAACACUGUUAUGGUGAAGAAAGCCAAUGGUAAAUGGAGAAUGUGCAUUGAUUUUACUGAUCUCAAUAAGGCUUGCCCAAAGGAUGAAUUUCCAUUACCAAGGAUAGAUUCUCUAGUAGAUGGAGCAGCUUCGUCAGAGCUUAUGAGUCUGCUAGACUGUUACUCAGGCUAUCAUCAAAUUUGGAUGAAGAAGGAGGAUGAGCCAAAAACCAGCUACAUAACCCCUAGUGGAACAUAUUGUUAUCUUCGGAUGCCUGAGGGGCUCAAGAAUGCUGGAGGAAGCUUCAGCAGAAUGACAGCGAAGGUUCUCCAUUCUCAGAUAGGCAGAAAUGUGCUAACUUAUGUUGAUGAUAUUAUAGUAAAAAGCACCAAGCAAGAAAAUCACAUUGCUGAUCUGCAGGAGACAUUCGCUAAUUUCAGACAAGCUGGUCUGAAGCUGAAUCCAGAGAAGUGUGUCUUUGGAGUAAAGAAGGGGAAAUUCCUUGGUUGUCUAGUCUCAACAAAAGGAAUCGAAGCUAAUCCAAAUAAGAUUGAAGCUAUUCUUCGGAUGGAGCCGCCAAGCACAAAGAAGGGGGCUCAACGACUGACAGGAAGACUAGCAUCUCUCAAUCGAUUCAUAUCUAGAUCAGCAGAGAGAAAUUUACCAUUCUUCGAAGUGCUGAAGUCAGCCGAAGUCUUUCAAUGGGGAUCAGCUCAGCAGAGAGCCUUCGAAGAGCUGAAGCAGUAUUUGAUAGACUUAACGACGUUAACUCCACCAACGCCAGGGGCUCCCCUAUUGCUGUACGUGGCAGCUUCGCACUCAGCAGUGAGUGCGGCACUUGUUCAAGAAAAACUUGAGGGACAAACCAAUAAGCAAGCCCCAAUAUACUUCAUCUCCGAAGUUCUUAGUCUAUCAAAGAAGAAUUAUACAGAAUUGGAGAAGGUCUUAUAUGCCGUCUUAAUGGCAUCCAGGAAGCUUCAACAUUAUUUUCAAGCAUAUCAUAUAAUUGUUCCUUCAUCACAACCUUUGAAAGAUGUCAUGAGGAACAGAGAAGCUACUGGAAGAUUUGGAAAGUGGGCUGCGGAGCUCAAUGAGUUCAGUAUUGAUUAUGUGCACAGAUCCUCAAUACAAUCCCAGGCGUUAGCAGACUUCAUUACCGAUUGGAUGCCAGGGGCUCAAGGAGAAGAAACAACUAAAGAUACCGAAGUAUGGACGGUAUUUUGUGACGGUUCUUGGGGAACCUUCGGGGCAGGAGCAGCUGCUGUGUUAGUUGCACCCUCCAAAGUUAGAACUUGCUACGCAGCAAGACUUGAUUUUAGCUGCACAAAUAAUAUUGCUGAGUACGAAGCUUUGCUUUUGGGCCUUCGGAAGUUAAAGGCAAUGGGGAUUAGAAGGGCGGUUCUUAAAACCGAUUCCCAGGUUAUUUCUAGCCAUAUUGACAAGAGUUGUAAAGCAAGAGACCCGAAGCUUGAGAAAUAUGUAGACACGGUCCGAAGGAUUGAAGCUUCCUUUGAAGGGUUUUCUGUCAAAAACAUUCCUCGAGGAGAAAAUGAACAUGCUGAUUUGCUAGCCAAGUCAGGAGCACAGGGGCUGCCCUUACCUUCGGAAGUAUUUUUUGAAACAAUAAAAACACCUUCGGUUGAACUUCUUGAAAGAGCAGUCCUCAAUAUAUCUCCUGUUCAUAGUGAAUAUUGGAGAACUGAGAUCAUUUCUUUCCUUCAGGGUAAUUUCCUUUCAGAUGACGAAGCUUAUAACAAGAGAAUAGAGGCAAGAGCUCGACCAUAUGUUAUAAUAGAAGCGGAGCUGUACAAGCAUGGAGUCUGUUCUCCAAUACUCAAAUGUUUAUCGAGAGCCGAAGGUAUAGAAUUGAUGAAGGAAAUACACGCAGGCCUGUGUGGAUCUCACAUUGGAUCUAGGCCUUUGUUGGGAAAAGUUUUUCGUCAAGGAUUUUAUUGGCCAAAGGCAGCUUCGGAUGCAGCGGAAUUAGUCCAAAAGUGCGAAGGCUGUCAGAAAUGCGAAAGAGAUCAAAAACAGCCUUCGUCUCUGACUCAGUUAAUACAAC